rnacentral:lncRNA from 1 species
UUUUUUGCAUUUAGACCCCUAACAAAUUUUUAUUUUAAAAGUAGCCCUGUCAAAAUUUAAUUUGCAAAAAUGGCCCUGGGCCUGCCACGCAUGCGCCACGUCAGCGCCACGCGGGCAGGGCUGGGCCCAUGUGUUAAGUUGAACACGAACACGGUGAAUGGUUCACCGUAUUUAGUACGUAUUUUUUUACACAUAUAUUGAAAAGUGGAAUAAGGAGUAGGGAUGUCAAUAGGUAUGGAUAUACGAAAUAUUAUCCGAAUCCAAAUCCGAAUAAAUUAUAUAUAUACGUAAUUUAUUUUUAUUUAUUUAUACAAUAUAUAAAAUAUUUAAUAAUUUUUAUUCCUUAGAUCUUCAUCCAACCCAGCGGAUUUUAAAAAUCCAUACCGUUGGAUGAAGAUUUAAAGAAUAAAAAUUAUUAAAUAUUUUAUAUAUUGUAUAAAUAAACAAAAAUAAAUUACAUAUAUAUAUAUAAUUUAUUCGGGUUUGGAUUCGGAUAAUAUUUCGGGUAUCCAUACCUAUUGACAUCCCUACUCCUUAUUCCACUUUUCAAUAUACAAAAAAUACGUAAGAAACACGGUAAACCAUUCACCGUGUUUAGACACGGUGAAUGAUUCACCGUGUUCAACUUAAUACCCUGGCCCCAGCCCUGCCCACGUGGCGCUGACGUGGCGCCUACGUGGCAGGGACAGGGUCAUUUUUGCAAUUUUAAUUUUGAUAGGGCUAUUUUUAAAAUAAAAAUUGCUCAGGGGGCUAUUUGCAAAAAAAGCCCUUUUUUUCUUUUUCCCGAAAUUAAAAGCAAAAUCUACCGAAAAAAAUCGUUAGAUUCGAAAUUCUGAAACAUGUCGGAAAUGUGUACUAUUUCCCGAAUUACCAAAAAUAUAAGAGAAAUAUAAUCGUACAAUUUUACAUUUCGCCCCUUCUAUUUCUCCUUCAUUUCCCAAAAAGGACAAGGUCUCGAGAUGCUCCAUCGUCCCCCCCACACUUCUAAAAUCCCCCGUCCCCAACCUCCUCUCUCUCUACGCCCCUCUCCGCCCCGCAAAACCCUAACCCGAAACCUUGAUCGAUCGCGAUCCAUGGAGUUUCGGUUCCGAUCCGAAGAGGAGCGGCUCUCCUCCCUCACUGAAGUCCCUCCUCCUCCUCCUCCGUCCUCGUCGUCCCCUUCUUUCUCCUCCUUCGCCUCCUACUUCACCCGCCAAGCAAUGCGAGGUAAAAAGAUCGGACCUCCCCCCUUUCUUCGCCGUAGGAUUUGGAUUAGGGUUUGUUGAUGCUAGCGUGGUGGAUCGCAGCGGGUCUGAUCGGCUUCCGCGGCGGCCCGAUGCAGCCGAUGACGGCGAUGGAGGCGCUGGAGCGGGAGAUCCGGAAGGAGAGGAUUCGGGAGGAGAUUUUGAGGGAGGAGGCGGAGAGGAGGAUUCUCGAGGCGGAGGUGAGGAGGGAGCUGGAGAUGGAGCGGAUGUUCGGGGUGCGGCGGACGAUGCCUCCGCCGGAGGAGAGGAUGGAGCCUUUCCCGGCGCCGUUCGGUCCCGAUGCUAGGGUUAGGUUUAGGGAUGCGUUAGAGUUUCGGUCCACGGGUCGGUGCUCGGAGGAUCGGUCCGAUCCAAAAAAGCUCUGUUUGGAGGCUCCUCAGAGGACUAGGGAAGAAAAGGAGUCACCUUUGGCUACGAAGAAGCUCGAGUUGCAGAUCAUCGAGUCUCCGGAGUCGUCUGAGGUUCUUCCCUGGUCUCCUGAUCUCUCAUCUUUCUCCUCAUUCCUUGGCUCAAUUAUAGAAAACAUUCAUGCACUUUCAAUCCUAUCUCACUUACCCUGCUACUCAAAUUGCUUCAGUUUCAACCUUACAUUUUAAUCUUGUCUCAAAUCUCAAUAACAGUUUGCGAUAUGUAACCCUCGUUAUCUGUCAACUAAUCCCUGUGAAUUUUUUAGCUAUCUAAUUUUUCUUUUAACAUAUUUGAGAUGGGGAUCAAGUGCAUGCUUCAAAUUGAAGCAAUUAAAAAAGCAGUUGAGAUAAGAUGAAAGUGCAUAAUGUAUUGUUAAUGCCAUGAUUUAGUGACUUGAGUGCCUUUAAACCUAAGAUUCAUAUCGUGGUUCGCGCAUGAUGGAGCAUAAUGAUAUGAUGGUCUUAAAGUUUGCUCCGUGCCAGAAUCUGUUUGAGUUCUUUUUGUUGCACAUGCAUGUAAGUCUCUUCACUCUGCUGGUUUUUUUUUUUAAAAAAAAAAGAUUCCCUAGCUUCAGUGUGCUGAGUGGUGCAAGAAUUAUUGCAGAAGUUCCCUAGAAAACUCUUAUUGGCGGCAGGUUCUUACAUGCAGAAAAAUGGAGAGUUAUGUCAAGUAUAUUUUUUUAGUAGCCACUUCUGUUAUGGAAUGGUUUUUGUAAAAUUGUGCGCCAUUAUGUUCCCAAUUCUUCAAAGGUGGUUCUAUUUUACUUAUCUCCAUUGGAUGUUUAAUUUCUUUAAUUUUAGAGGAACACUAUUGACAUAAAUUGAUAAGAAAGUCAUUAUCUAUUUGUUUGCUUCAAGCUACUUAUCUGUCCCUUCUUCAGCGCUCUCUUUGUUCUUCUUUAUGCCUUAAGUGUGAAUUGCUCUUGCAAUUAGGGCAAAAGGGGAAGUAGCAAAGAGGGCGAUGAAAGGUAGAAAGAUAAAUAGAUUAAAACUAACGAAUAUUUGAUGACUUUUUGUAUUGGUUUAUUUUGACGGUGUUCUUCUGAUCUUUUUUGGGACCUUAAGCUUGAGAUGUUAGCUCAGAUGAAGCUAAUUUCUUGGAAUUGCCUUUCAAGAAUUGUCGACAUGCUGGAAGUUCUGUUUUGCAAAUGUGUAAAAGAAGGGGUUGUUGGCAAAAGGCCAAAAACUAUGAGACAUAUCGCCUCUGUUUCGUCUUCAUGACAAAGUUUAGAUAAUGUUUUCUUGGGAACUUUCUUUAAUAAUGUUAUGCCAUUUGAGUGUAAGGGUAAUUUUGAGUGUAAGGGUAAUUUGUGCUCCCCCCUAAAGAAACAUGGGUUUAAACAUGCUGUCUAUUCUUCACAUAUACCGAUAACUUAACAAAAUGUAUCUGCAUGCGAAAUAUAGCCUAAAGGUUCUGAAGGACUUCCUAAAAGUUUUUAUUUUUUUGAUUUUUUUAUCCCUGAGACUUGGGAAUGUUGGGUUAGGGGUGAGUUGGUAUCUUAUUCAAUACCCCUCAGUAUACACUAUGCAGACCUGAACAAAAUAGUUUGCUGUUUGGAUUCCUUGAGACCAAUUGAUGCUGUUUGAAUAUCACAGAUGCAAUAAAGAACCAAAGAAAUAGAACUUCACAUUAAAUAUGAAUUGCCAAAGGGAAUUAAAGCAAUUAAAAGAGGGAAAACUUUCGAGAUCUGAACCAAACUAAAGCAAAUUGGAGCCUUUAGUAAUCAUCAUGAAUCACUGAAAAGAAAAUUCUUACGUUCCACAAUUAGAAGCUAUUGAAACAUAUCUAACAAUAGUACCAAUUAUCAAUUCUGGAAUUUCUGGACGGCACAAAUUACUUGGACUUCUAUUUACUCCCGCUAGCAGUUUGAAGAAGAAAAGGUGGCCCUGCAGCAACUGAGAUAAGGCGAAGAAGCGCAGAGCAGUAGCAGGCACAUAAGAGAGAAAUUUAGGUGCCAUCCUUGAUUUUCGUAUUUGCAUCCUUGUUUUUAGUUCAAUUGCAGGAAUAAUGAAUUUAUUGCUUACACUGCUGAAAUUUGGAGUUACGGUGGGCCGCAGAAGAAUUUCACCUAGAUCACCCUGGCAGCAGUUGUUCCCUGCAACUGCAUCUUUUGUCCGAAUCCAAUGUUUGAGAAGCUUUAAUGUUAAGCUGAAAUGCUAUUGAAGGCACCACGGCCGGUGGAAGAAUUCCACCUAGGUAUGUGCAGGAAAUAUCUUGCACCAAACGAUGUGACAGCCGAUGGAUAAAGAAAGGGGAAAAAAGAUAAAGAAAUAGCAGCUAGUAGUGAGAUCCAACCAUCGUUUAUAUGCUAUAGCACAUGCUGCACAUCUUCAGCAAGCAUUCUCUCUUUAUGCCUAUUUACGGAUUAAAUGAUUUGCACAGAGAGAUUGAAAUUGCGAAGGAGCAAUAUUCAUGAGGAUUAUGCUCGACCAGAUGAUAGGAAGUGGCUUGCCCCAGAUGAGAACCAAACAUUCUCAAAUUUAUAAUUUCAUGUGAGCUGGAGGAUCAUAAGCCUCUAAGUUGACAUGAAGCAGGUUGUGUAGCUUAUUUCUGCCUCCAAGGUAAAAGGUGUGUAGCUCCGUAGUAGAAGCAAGAGUAGAAGCUCCAAAUUUGAUCAUUUGAGUUUGGGGCUUAAAAGCUUAUUUCGGUUUCCCAUCAUGGCAGAAGCACCAGAUGUUAUGUUUGCUAAUGCCUGGAAGUUGCUUUUUUGAGUAGAGAAGCUUCUCUAGAGGCCUAGUCAAAUAGGCCCUAAGGGCUUAUUUCUCUGAGCUUUUAAAAGAGCUUCUUAAUUUGAGAGGUGCAAUUAUGCCGACAUAAAUCUUGGAGCUUCUGGUCAUAGUGCGGGAGCCGAAGUGGGAUUUUGACCCAAAAGCAAGAGCUCUAAUUUGAUGGUUCUUCUUGUAGCUUUUACUUGGAAAGUUCUUUGGGAGACUUUGAUAGACCACGGUUAAGGCUGCAUGAAAAGCCAACUACAUAGAAGCUAUGACGUACCCAAACGGGCCCUUGAUAAGUAUUCAAAAUGGCACCCCUUUUGCUUAACUUCUUGGACAAGACUUGAGAAAGAGCUGGAUGGCCAAAAUGUUUAGUGUUUUUAGUUUGACGUUCUUGCCGACAUUGUCUAGCUUAGACUUGACUAGAGUCAAACCGAAUUUGAUUUUGAUGCACCUAAGUUGAAUUGCAUGCAGUUUAAUUUCAAUUAUGUGCCAUUUUGUGCUAAAUAUUGUGGGCUUGGGAUUGGCCCAAGUUUCAUUGCACGUUGUAAAAUGAUGAUUUCAUUUGAUUUUUGUUUUCGCUUAUUGCUAAUACAACACGUGAUCCGUGAAGAGAAACAACUGCCCUUGCAUCAAUCUCUCGCAGGUCCCACCGCAAAAUAGCAAGCUUUCAGGAACCAAAAGGAAAGCAGAACUAGAUUCUGAAGUGAGCAAAAAGCUCCAGAAGCAGCCGAUCAAGAAAGAUUGGAGCUGUGCUAUCUGCGAGGUUUGUGUGACCAGUGAGAGCGCUUUGAAUGAGCACCUCCAAGGGAAGAAGCACAAGGCAAAGCUCGUGCUCUCUGGUGCUGUGAAGAAGUUCAACAACAAUGACAAGAGCAUCUUGAAAAAACCGAAAGCAGAAGUAUUGGCCAAGGCCGAAGGCUCCUCAGCUGCCGAAGGAGAGAAGAAGAUAAGUAUGCAGGUCGACGGGAAGAUGUACACAGUUCUACAGAAGAAGGAUUGUCUAUGGUGCGAGAAAUGCAAAGUGAAGUGCCUUAGUUCCAUUAAUAUGGCCGUUCACCUUGGAGGGAAGAAGCAUAACUCGUCGACCGAGAAUUUAAAUAAAGCCCAAGCUCGAAAGCUGGCGAGAGCUGCCACAAAAGUUAAAUCUAAAGAGAAUGCUGAAAAACCAAUAAAAGAGGAUGCAAAGGAAAAUGGUGCGGAGGAGGAUAAAGAAACUGCAGAAGAGGGAGGAGAACAAGCAAAGUGAGGGUAAAUUAUUGCCUGAAUCUGGUCCACCACGUCAACCGUAGGUCGCCUAGUGCUCCGCCGUCUUACUCAAUUUCACUUUCAUUACCUACCAUUCUUGAAGGAAAAAAAUCUUCGAAUCUGGAAAAUGUUCUGGAGUAGGACGUAAGGCAGAUUCACCGGAGGUCCAUGGCUGACGUGGUGAACCGGGUUCGGCAAAUAAUUUCUCCUGAAUGAGGUUUUAUCUGGAGUUUAGGAUGAAUACAUGGCUCUCCUCCUAAUUGAAGGCAUUAACAAUUGUAAUGUUGUUGUAGUAGUAGUAGCAGUAGGGGGAAGUGGUGCUAGCUAGAGGAGUGAAUAUGAACAAAGUAUUCAGAGGGGAGAGCAUUAGCGGCAUUUGGUUUCAUUGAAUAGGUUGGCUGCUAGCAACGGGUGAUCCGCAUGAUGAAUGACCUGCACUUUAUUGUAAUUUUCGGUCCUUGUGUUGGUUAAUGUUGGUUGAUCUUUCUAUGAAUGAGUAUUCCUGAGGCGAGGACACUAGUAGCAUUCGAUUUCAUCAAAUAGGUUAGGUGUUAGUAAUGGGUGAUCUGUAUGAUGAAUGACUUGUACCUUUUUCUCGUAAUCUUCGGUCCUUGUGUUGGUUAAUGUUGGUUGAUCUUCUUGUGCCCUUUUUCUGUGUUACUUUUCCUCAUUCCAUGCUUCUGCAUAGGCUGUUAUAUUCAUUCUCUAAGUUAGGUUGAUGUAUGAUGGUAAGAAUAUGGUGUGUAGCAUUGUUUUUUUUCCCUUUUUUUUUUUUUUUGAAAUCUAAUGUCUGAUAUCAUCUAAUUGUUAAUUUUGAUAUAUAUUUUGAUAUUUUCUUAGUUAGGUGGCUUUGAUGUCUACAUAUGUUCCACUCUAUAUAAGAUUAUGGCUACUGGGUGUAGCAAAUAAGUCUCCUAGAAAAACAAAAUGUUACAUAAUAAAGAGUGCAUAUAUACAUAUAUUUUUGAUCAUUUCUUUUUACUGGAAAUUGUUUGAUUAGUUUUGUGUCAGAUAUUGCAGUGUCAAGUUCAUUGCAUUAAGUCAUUGCAAUGGAGAUACAUAAAAGCAUUUAUCAAUGUAAUUUUGAUAAAGCUCAUCUUUUUAGGGUUGUUGUGAUGUAAUCAUUCUAAAUAAAUGCAGGAUAUGAAGUCACAAGUAGGGGUGGAAUCGAGCCGAGCUCGAGCGAGCUUACAUCGCUCAAAUUCGGCUUGAAAUUAAUUUCGAGCCUAAAUUUAAGCUCAAACUUGGAUUGAAAUUAAUUCGAGCCGAGCUCGAGCGAGCCUAAUUUAAGUCGAGCGAGCUCGAGCGCCUAAACGAGCCGCUUGAAAUUCUCAACAUUAUACGAUCAAUAGUUUAAUUUGUAUAGAACAUUAUCUAUAAUUUGAUACAAAAAUAUGUCUAAUAGUUCAAAGUACAAAUAAUUAUAUGAAAUAUAGUAUUAUAAUAUGAAAAAAAAUAAUUUAUAGUUGAAUAUCUAAUUUUUUCAGUCACACAUGUUUUUUCUUCGGCCUUCAUUCUCCAAUAUUAUUCAUUUUCAUUUAUGCAGUCAAAAAUAAAUAAAUUAUAUAGAUAAAUAUUGAUUAAACUAUCCAUCAUAUAUAACUAAAAUUAAAAUUUUAUAUGAAUAAUAAUUUUUUACUUAAAUAUUCUGUAUAUUUUCUCAAGCAUACAAUUAAUAGCAAGGUAGGCAACGGCGGGCAAUAUGAUGUUACUUGGUAACUUAUAGGGCUUCCUGGCUUGGCCAUUAGGGUGAGAACGAAAAAAAAGAAAGAGAAAACAUAUUGAAUUUAGAGCUUGUGAAAGAAAGAAAGAAAGAAAGAAAGAAAAUAAUAUAAUUUAGUAAAAAUUUUGCUCUUAUUAUUUGUCUAUUGGUUUGUUUUCAUGGGCCAACAACAUUGGCCGAUUUUAACUAAACUCGAUUAUUCACUCAGCCUAUAUAUAAUUAAAAUAUAUUAUAUUUAUAUUUUUUAUAUAUAUAUAUAUAUGAAGAGAGAGAGUAGAACUACUAUGCUAUCGAAAAUAUAGAGGAUUUAAUGUUUUUGAAUUUUUGACUCUUUGAUUAAAAAUUGUAUGGUUGGGAUGAUUGCGGUCUCCCCUAGGAUUAAAUAAUACUCUUAGGAUUAAGUGGUCCCUACAAGGUAAUAAUAAUAUUAAUCGAAAGAUAAGAAACGAUUAAAGGGAUUGAUCUAAGAAUCAAAAAAUCGAAAGCACCAUAUCUCUAUACUUUCGAAAGCAUAGUAGCUCUACUAUAUAUAUAUAUAUAUAUAUAUAUAUAUAUAUAUAUAUAUAUAUAUAUAUAUUCACAAGAGGCUAAAUUCAUACUCCACCCAAACUUUAAUGACUACAUUAAUGGCUUAAUCAAUGGAUUAUAUUCAACUUGUCAUCUCCUUGGGCUCCUACUUGUGAAUUAUUAUCUUUAUUUAAUAUCACCACCAAUAAUUUGUACAUGUGUACGAAUAACAGCAUCCUCAUUGUGAAAAGUGGAAAGUGAUUUAGUACACAAUUGUCAAUUGGGACACAAUUGUCGAUUGGUAAUUUAGUAUUGAGAGUUAUUUAACAUUUUUUACGGAUCUAGACUAAAAAUAUAUUUUUAUAAUAUACAGCACACUAUAAUUUAUUAAAAUAAAUAAAAUAAUUUUUAUCGUAUAUAUUAUACAAAUAAAGCCAAAGGAUAUAUUUUAGCAAUCAAUAUUAUUACAAUGCAAAGUUGCUACACCAAGACCACUAGUGUAGUAGCUCGCGCGUUACGGUAGAUAGAUACUGUUAAAAUAAAGUUUUAUAAAGAAUAAAAUAUCAAUGUAGUAAAAAAAUAAUAAAUAUAGUCUAUAUUAUAGAUAAACAUUUUUAAAAACUAAAACUAUAAUAAAAAAAUGUAAUCGUCUCAACAAAAUUAUUAAAUCUUAUUUAAGAGAAGUCACAUAUCAUAUAAAUAAACGAUUAAAAUUAUUUCUAUAACACAGUAAUCAAAUAAGAAAAAAAAUUAGAAAAUAAUAGGCUUCACUCUUUCUCAAAUUAAAGGGAUAAGUACAUGUACGAUGUAAUCAUGAGGAUUAAUAUAUAAUAAAAUAUAGGUAUAGAUAUUGGUUGUUAGCUUUCGCUUUGUCGUUUCCGUUGAAAUAUCUCAAACAAAAAGACAUUCCUUCGUGUACCUCUCAUUCACAAUCUAUCAUAUUUGAAAAUUUUAAACUAGAAUUUUGGGGGUACAUGAGAUUUUUUUUUUUUGAGAUAUUAUUGAGAUAUUAUUGAUCACUAAGAUAUUAGAUUGAAAUAAUUCCAAAAAACUUAACUUAGUAUUACUAUUAUUAUUAUUAAUUGGUUUUCAAAAUGUCUCAUUUAUUUUAUCAUAACAUAACAUAACAAUUAAAGGAGAUCCUAUCCUGUUAAACAAACCAAUUUUGUAUAUAUUUUUCCGUGAUUAAAUUGGCUUCUUUGAAAGCUACAUAUUAACUGACUCAUGGUUAUCUUAUUCUUCUUCUCAAGUAUAUCGAUUUAUUUAAAUAUUUUUUUAAAACAAAAUUUGACUUUUCUAAAGCUUUUCUACAUUCAAAAAGCAAAUAUUUUUUUGACAAACAAAGAGAUCGAAACUUCGACUGUCCUAAAAAUUUAAAGUACAAAUUUGGUUUAGAAAUUUAUUUUUGCAUUGAUUUAAGUAGCGCUUUUUUUAGUAGUUUCACUUGUACACUACUACACAAAAAAAAGUAUUAACAAGAUCAAAUAAGUUGUGCCUUUACAAUGCACGAAAUUAGCAGGAAAAAAAAAUCUUAAAAAAAUAGAAGAAUAAUAUUUAGAUAAUAAAGUGAAUUUUGUGAGGUCGAAAUCAAUUCUUUUCUCUUUUUUUUCGUGCAUUAUUUUAUUUUUUGUUGAGCCAAUUUUUGUUUGAAAAAGCUGAAACUAACUUUUGAACGCUACAGGAAGUACAUAGCAUUUUAAAAAUAUAUAAAAAAUUAUUCUAAUAAAAUAAAUGAUAAACUUGAAAUAUAAUUUAUGCGGUUUUGUGCUUUCUCACGUUAGUACCAAAUAUUUUAAAAUGUAUUACUUUCGUAUUCUGUAUUUUUAUUUUUCUUUUUUCGUUCAGCAUUUUCGUUAACUCUUCGUUAAUUUAUAUAUAAAAAAAAAUCUUAGAUAUUCCACCUAUGAUUUAUCAAAUAUUCACUUUAAUAUCUUAUAAUUUUAAUUUUAUCAAUAAAAAAUUAAUAAAAAAUAAAAUUAUAUAAUAUGAAAAUAAUACAUUAUAAAUCACGAAAUAUUAAAUAAAAAAAAACCUAUAAGAUGAUGUUUGAAUUUUUUUCUAAAAUUAAAUAGGAAUUAAUAAAAAACAGGAUAACGAAAAGACUAGCGAGACACGUGUAAAUCACUGUGAGCCUUCGAUCACACGUGUGGGAUCCACCUAUCAAUCAAAAAUUUCGGAUAUAUAUGUCCAUCGAAAAAAGUGAUAAAGUAACUACUCACAAAAUGACGUGGAAUUUUGCACAAAGAUAAAUUAUUUAAAAUAAAAUUCUCGAAGUUGUAAUUUAAUAUUAAAUAAUAAUUGAUAAAUUUAAAAAAUAUCUGUUUGAAAUAAGCAUAAAAUACAAAAAGAUACCCAUCAAAAUCCAAAAUUUUUUUGAUCGCAUUCGUGAUACGUGUACCAAAACAGUACCAUCAAUCACUUUUAUGGGUCCCACCUAAUCAUACAUCUCGCAAUAAAAAAAAUUGUAUUUAUUUAAUAUAUUAUAAUACUACGCAAUAUGACGUGGAAUAAACGAACCACAAAAUUAAAUUAGACAAAUUGUCAAAAUAGUUUGGAAUUAAAGAGUAUUAUUUAAUUAUUUAAUUAUUUAAUUAUUUAAAGAGCUAUGCUCGAAUACUUUGUCAGGUAGAGAACUUGAAUCUUCUUAAAGACAGCGAGAUUUUCAUACCUCAACUUGAUCGAUUCGUUAAUAUUUUUUAUAUUAUUUUUUUUACUUUUUAUAGUAGAGAUUAUAUAUAAUAGAAAAUAUUAUUUAAAUAUUUUAAGAUAACUUAGUAAAAAAUAAUUUUGCUCAACACCGUGUUACGGCAAAUUAUUAUUAUGAUUAAUGAUUAAAAAAAUGGGAUCUAUAAUAAGAAUUUAGCAUAGAAAUUUCUUCUUUUUUUUUUAAUUUUUAGAACUUAAAUAGAAUUUACUAAUAAAAGAGAGAGAGAGAGAGGAGAGAAUGGAUAAGGGGUGAGCCCCUGGUCCUCGCACGUGCCACGUAAGCAUAGCGGAUCCUUUUUCUAAUUUUUAAGAUCCGACCCGAUAACACCAAACCACCUCUCUCUCUAUAUAUACCGAUUCUUAUCCGUAUUCCUAUUCUCAUUCUCUAUCCCCUGUUCUCAAUCCUCUCGAAGCAUAUUCUCGCUCUUCUCUCUCUCUCUCUCUCUCUCUCUCUCUCUCUCUCUCUCUCACUUCUUCUAGGGUUUCUCCCUGUAUUGUGGAAAGGAUCUCUAAUUUGUGCGGUGGAAGCGAUCAUGACGAUCUCGAUGGUGGGGAUGGUGUCGCCGGCGAGCGGGUUGGCGGGGAGGUGGCGGAGGAAGAGGGCGGAGAGGGGUGGAGGUGUGAGGUGCUCCGCCGCCGCCACGGGGGGUCUAACGGAGCAGUAUAGGACGCUCAGGAUAAGGCCCGGGGCGACGGAGAGCGAGGUGAAGAGGGCCUUUCGGCAACUCGCGCUUCAGGUUUCGUGCUCUCUCUCUUUCUUUCUCACGGGGGAAUUCGAUCAUUUUUUGUUGUGAUGCUCUUGGAGGGGCUGCAUAUAGGGAUUUGGGUGGGAAAUUGGGGUUUUCAAUUGAUUUUGGGGGGGGAAAAAGGGAUUUUUUUAAUUUUUUGUUGAAUUAGGAGAUUAUUUGUAGGCAACGUAAAAAUUGAUGUAGAUUUUGUCGAAUGAAUUUAAAUUUUGGGCAAUUACUUUUAUUAUAAUAAUAUGGGUGGGAAUUUUUUUUUAUUUUUUUUUCCUUUGGGAGGGGGUAGUGGGGACUUAAAUAGCGCAAUUUGUUUGGAAAAUUUUGGAAUUUGGUUUGGUGAAUAAUAGAGGUGAAACAAAAUUUGGUGUUUUGGAUAUGGGUUUCUGUUUUUUUUUUUUUGGGUCCUAAUGCUUCCUCCUAAUUUUUUUGGGUACCUGUCGAUUCAUGGAUCAAUUUUUUUUUUUUAUUUCUGUUUAAAAUUUUAAAAAAUUAAAAAAUAAAUCUGUUGAGUUCUUAUUGGCUCUAUUUAUUCUUUGCAGUAUCACCCAGACGUUUGCAAAGGGAGUAAUUGUGGUGUUCAAUUCCAUCAGAUUNGAUGAACAUCAAAUUGUAUCGUUAACUGCAAAAAAAUUUAUAAGUUGCACUAUUUAAGAUGUAAACUGCAGCUUUAAGAUGAAAACUAUACUCUUUAAACGAAAAUUACACUCUUUCAGAAAUAUUUACACUGUUUCUCUUCUUUUUACACUCUUUCAGAUGUAAACUGCAUCCAUUAAAAUGAAAGUUACACUCUUUAAAAAAAAGAUGCACUGUUUCUCCUCUUGUUGCACUAUUUUUUAUCUUAAAUUGUACCCUUUUAAGAGAUAUUUAUACUGUUUCUUCUCUUGUUGCACCAUUUCUGUGUAAAUAAGAGGAGAAAUAGAGCAACAAGAGGAGAAACAGUGCAAGAAGAGAAGAAACUGUACUGUUUUAAAAGAUAUAUAUACUGUUUCUCCUCUUGUUGCACCAUUUCUGUGUAAACNUCUCUCUCUCUCUCUCUCUCUCUCUCUCUUCUUCUAGGGUUUCUCCCUGUAUUGUGGAAAGGAUCUCUAAUUUGUGCGGUGGAAGCGAUCAUGACGAUCUCGAUGGUGGGGAUGGUGUCGCCGGCGAGCGGGUUGGCGGGGAGGUGGCGGAGGAAGAGGGCGGAGAGGGGUGGAGGUGUGAGGUGCUCCGCCGCCGCCACGGGGGGUCUAACGGAGCAGUAUAGGACGCUCAGGAUAAGGCCCGGGGCGACGGAGAGCGAGGUGAAGAGGGCCUUUCGGCAACUCGCGCUUCAGGUUUCGUGCUCUCUCUCUUUCUUUCUCACGGGGGAAUUCGAUCAAUUUUUGUUGUGAUGCUCUUGGAGGGGCUGCAUAUAGGGAUUUGGGUGGGAAAUUGGGGUUUUCAAUUGAUUUUGGGGGGGAAAAAAGGGAUUUUUUAAACUUUUUGUUGAAUUAGGAGAUUAUUUGUAGGCAACAUAGAUAAAUUGGUGUAGAUUUUGUCGAAUGAGUUUAAAUUUUGGUCAAUUUUUUUUUAUUAAAAUAAUAUGGGUGGGAAAAAAGUUUUUUUUUUUUUCCUUUGGGUGGGGGUAGUGGGGACAUAAAUAGCGCUAUUUGUUCGGAAAAUUUCGGAAUUUGGGUUGGUGAAUAAUAUUUUCUUCAGAGGUGAAAAAAAAAAGUGGUGUUUUGGAUUUGGGUUUCUGUUUUUUUUUUUUUUUGGUCCUAAUGCUUCCUCCUAAUUUUUUUGGGUACCUGUCGAUUCAUGGAUCAAUUUUUUUUUUUUAUUUCUGUUUAAAAUUUUAAAAAAUUAAAAAAUAAAUCUGUUGAGUUCUUAUUGGCUCUAUUUAUUCUUUGCAGUAUCACCCAGACGUUUGCAAAGGGAGUAAUUGUGGUGUUCAAUUCCAUCAGAUUAAUGCGGCUUAUGAUGUAAGUGUUCCCCACAUGCCAUUUUUUUCUCUCCUCUUUUUUUCCUUGUUGAUUUUACUUGUAUUUGUUUAUCUAUCUAUUUACGUAGUUAUUUAUUUAUGAUGUUAGUGUUUUUAACCAAUAAAAAUUAAUCCUUCCAAAUUCAAACUUUUUUCUAUGAAUUUUGAAUAGAAUUUUUUUCCGACGUGUAUAAAAUAGUUUCUCAUAAUGAUUCAGAUUUCCAUAAUGCUUAUGUUUAAUUAUUAAUAUUAAAAUUUGUGAUCUUUGUAUUUUUAAUUAUGAUUUUUAUUUUCAUUCAAUAUGGAAUUACUNUGAUCUUUUGGUUUUUAAUUAUGAUUUUCAUUUUCAUUCAAUAUGGAAUUAUUUGGACAUCAGAGUUUUUUUCAUAGAAAUUCUUCAGUGCGCGCCAAUAAGAUGGUUCUUAAUACUGUUUACAGUUUUAUCUUUUUGAUACCAAAUUAGAAAAUUAAUAGCAAAACCAGAAUUAAUGGCCUCAUUGGUCUGUGUAGAUUAUUAUGGACAACUUAAGGCAAGCCGAGGAGGCGCCGGAAAAUUCGUGGGCCUCGCCGGAGUGGAGCGAGGACGGCUACGGCGACGAGCCGAUGCGGGGGAUGUGUGACUCAAGCUGGGACAUGUGGGAGGAGUGGAUGGGGUGGGAGGGUGCAGGAAUUAGAGACUAUUCUUCUCACAUCAACCCCUACAUUUGAGCUUGAUUAGCUCUUUCAAAUUUGAGCUUGAUUCGCUCUUUCAAAUAACACAAAGCCCUUGUUAAAUCUCAGGGGUUUCUCUUUAAUAAGAACCAAUGUAAAUAGUCUCUCUACAUAUUGGGCAUCAGAUAGAUGCUUAUGUAUAUAUACAUAACAUGUUCAAAUAACGUUUUAUGGUCUUUCCUCUUUUUGUUGGGAAAGUAUUUAUUAGUAUGAGAGUAAUUGUUCUUCACAAUUGUGAAGCAUUGUGUGUGUAAAUUGCAAUCCUUAUUAGCAGUUUAGUUUCCCUAGAUUCUAAUUGGCUUUUCUCUCAAUGUUACAAUGUCAUUUGCCCAGUGAAUACGUAAUUUUGAGGGGGCUUUUCUCUCAAUGUAACAUACCAGAUUGGAUAGUGAAUAAACUAUUAUCUUUUUUUAUUACUGUUCCAAAAUGUGAGUGCAGAUCUUGUGUUUUAAACCAUGUUAACUUGACAUGUCUAUGGACUCGAAUUGCUUAUCUGAUACCAUCUGUAUUUGUUUCUAACUAGUAUGAGUAUAGUAAAAUGUGAGUUUUUUCCCUCUAGAUCUUCAAGUGGGAGUCCCAGUAAAUGAUCACCUUGUUUAGGAUAAUACAAAUCUAUAAACAUACAUACUAUCCUCAGGUGAUACUUUCACAUGACUUUAAAACACCAUUCUUGCUCCGAACAUCAAUGGUUAAAAAAAAGAGAAAAAUCAUCAGUAAGUCACAAAUAACCACAUCAAAACUCCACAAAUUACAAGCAGAUAGAUAUAACAUGGUUAUUAGGUUUUUGACAACAAAAAAUAUUUGAUCUAAUAUGAAGAGCACUACAAUGUAAUCCUUUCAACAACUUGCUUUUUCAAGCAUGAGUGAAAAAGCUCCAAACUCUGCUUUUGGAGUUAGAAUCUCAUUUCGGCUCUCUACUCCACCAAAAGCUCUACUAGAGAUGAGCAAAUGCAGAAAGGUUUCUUAAAUUACUACGAAAAUCCACCAUUUUUAUCCUCUCAUCUAUUACAAUGAUUAAGCAUUCCAAUCCCAAAUUGAUACAAGAGAGUUUUUCACUCCCACAAGUUCUUUUCCUUUGUUUGAAGGCCCACUAACACCAAAAGAAAUAAAAAAAACUUAUGCAUAAGAACAUGUCUAUUCCUUGAUAAUCCCACUGUACAAAUCAAGGAUUUGAAGCUAAAUGCUGAAAUCCGAUGAAGAACUCGCAGUUCAUUGCUAAUGCGAGUGAAAGCUACACUCUUAAGGCUACUUGGCCAUGCCAUGUAAUCUUCCUCUUGCCGAACCGGCUCGCUCCAUUCCCAUUAUCGCGAAAUGUCGGCAAAUUCAGAUCACUGGCCAAAGCCUUUCCCUCCAUCUUAUCCUUCUUCAUGCUAUCGAACUUCACAGGCUCCCAUUUGACCGCAAACUCCUCCAUUUCCUCAUCAUUCUGCUAAGCCAGAAGAACCCUUCAUGUCAGCUAUCCGGCAAACGGUGUGCAUGUAACUCUCUAGAAUAAAAUUGUACCGAGGAUCCUUAACCUUUCAGUAGUUCUCUAAUCUCGGCAUUACAUUACAAUGCCACCCAUUAAAAUCGUACAUCAAUAGGACGGAAAGUAUCCGCCUGAUCAUAAUCCAAUUGUCAUAAAGCAGACAUUUGGACUUCCCAUACGGUUAUUACGGGGAAUUUCUCUUCCAAUUCGACACCAAGAAAUUUAAUGAAACAGAUAACAUUGAAAUGGACCGUAACCCAAUUGUAGCAAUUGAACGAUUAAGACCAAAACAUAUGAAUGUAAUAUUCUACUAAAGUUUCCGAGACAUUACCGGUAAGGAAACCUGGUUCAAGUCUAUCACUCCAAAAGUGCUUGGCAUAGAAGCUUCUUUGUCGAUAGAAGAUCUCUCUUUAGUAGGAGUUGCAUUCUGAAUGGCUCGACGUGAUGAGGACGGCACUUUCUGCAAUUGCUUCUUCAGUCGAUAGGAGGUUUUCUGAGAGGGGUUCUCAGUUAAGGACUUGAAUUUUCUCCUCAAGAACCUGGGCCAUUCAAAAAAUGCACACAUAUGAGUUAUUUACCGCAGUUUUGAUUAUUGAAAGCAAGUUAAAUCGUCAAUAACAUGCUUAGCAAUUUGAAGCAUGCAAAUUACUGCAACCUCUUCUGAUUUUGGGUUUCCGCUUUGAUUAGGGGUCUAGUUUUCCAAUUUAUUAAGCCUAGGACUCCACAAGGAACAUGAAUUACAAAGAAGAAUCCUUUUGUCCUAAAAUGCACCAUGAAUUUGACAAAACAAAAAUCGUUAUUUAGGAGGUGACAUGCUUGAGGCGGUAAUUAGGACGCGACCUAGCCGUACUUAGAUUAUGUUUGGAAUUACGAAAAAAAAUUGUGUUACAUACGGUGAGAAAGUAUGAUGAAAAAAUAUUUAAUUUGUUUUCAUAUGUAAUAUCAUAUUCUGCAAUUCACAAUUGAGAAAAUGCAGAAGCAUAGCAUAUUCCCAUAUGCUUCCGCCUCAAAUCCGUUUUGCUCGACAGCGUAAAUGAUCAAAAGAUGAAAUUGGUACUAACUUGACUUCAUUGAGAAGCUUGAGUUUCUUCUGCUUUUUCUCUAGCACCUGCUUCCUCUUUGCUUCAGUUUCCUGAGAAAGGGAGAAUUAGAGCUUAACAUCUGUUAGCAAAAUUGUUGGAAAACAAAAGGAGACUAAUAAAAGCGGCAUAUGCUGAAAAUUAAAGGGCAUCUAGAGAUGAAACCAAAACAUUCUUAAUAAAUUGAAGAAAAAUUUUCAGAAAAAGGAACAUAAUACACAGACAAACUCUUUUAAACUGAAAUUUAGAAAUAAGUUAUGUAAAUAAGGGGGGGUGGGGGAAGAAAAUUCUUUUAUAAAUUUCAGAAAAUAAUUAACUUUAGAGGAACCAAAAAGGGAUUUCCUUUUAAGAGAUAACAUAGUGAAUUACAAGAAAAUUCACAAAAAAAAUCUGCCAAAAAAGGGAGGAUUACUGAAAACCCUAGAUCUGUAAGUAGAACAUUAGAUUUCAACAAAAUAAAGCAAGAAGCAAGGAAAAAAAAUCCCCCAAAACCAAGAUGCAAGAGAGACCCACUGUAAACAACUUUUACAGCAACCAAAUAAAAAGGAAAAAAAAAAAGGAGGGGCAAAAACCCCCCCAAAGAUCAGAAGAUCCAACAAAAAUCAGAUUCCUGCAAGAGGCUCUGGUGCUUGAACCUGGCCCUGGCCUCCUCCCCACCUGGGAACGAAGCGGAGGAUGGAGCGGACUCCAUGGCAACCCACCUCACCCUCUUCAUCUCCACCCUCAAAUCUCAAGAGAAACAAGGAGAGAGAGAGGGAGAGACAAAAAAAAGAUGAAGAGACCAAGAGAGAGAGAGAGAGAGAGNGGUAAAAACAGUACCCAAGAUCUCACCUUUAGCAACUCCACAUAAUCCUGCAAGAGGCUCUGGUGCUUGAACCUGGCCCUGGCCUCCUCCCCACCUGGGAACGAAGCGGAGGAUGGAGCGGACUCCAUGGCAACCCACCUCACCCUCUUCAUCUCCACCCUCAAAUCUCAAGAGAAACAAGGAGAGAGAGAGGGAGAGACAAAAAAAAGAUGAAGAGACCAAGAGAGAGAGAGAGAGAGAGGGAGAGAGGGGGGCAAUAAAAAGGCCACCUUGUGAAGGGGGUGGUGAGAUAAUGGAGGAAAUAAAGGUGGGGGUGGGGGGGGGAGGUGAGGAGUUCCCUUGCCCACCACCCCCCCCCCUUCUCUCUCUCUCUCUCUCUCUCUCUCUCUCUCUGACCCUGACCCAAGAAAAACCCAAAAAGCCCCAUAUUAAUCAGGUACAGGAAACUGGGUAGUAGUAGUAGGAGUAGGAGUAGUAGUCCUGGGUUAGAGAGAGAGAGAGAGAGAGAGAGAGAGUGAGUGUUUGUUGUGUGUGUCUCUGUUUCUCUCCUCCUAGGUGAAGAGGAGAGGGGGUGAAGAGUUUUCUGGGUCUCCAGGGGGGCAUUUCUGGGAACUUGCGCAGUAGUUUUGUAGAGAGAGAGAGAGAGAGAGAGAGAGAGAGAGAGGUUUGGUUGGGUGAUGAUGCAUGACUACUGAAGACACCUACAUCCAUCUUUCUUUCUUUCCAUAUACCUCCCUCUUUCCUUGUAUUUCUCCAUACACACACACACUCUCUCUCUCUCUCUCUCUCUCCCUCUUUCCCCAACACAGACCACAAUUAGUCUCCCCCUUCACAUUUCUAUGCACAAACUCCUGGUCCAUGUAGAAAAAAGAUUGGUCAGUAAUAAAGAGAUGUAGAGAGAGAGAGAGAGAGAGAGAGAGAGAGAGAGGGGUUGGACAUGGACUCCACCUUGGAGGGUAGGGAUUCUCUCUCUCUCUAUCUCUCUCUCUCUCUCUCUCUCUCUCUCUUUUUCUUUAUUCCUCACCAGUCACUCACCUCCCUCCUUUCUCUCUCUCCAGUCUCACCUAUUCCUUGGCUGUCUGCUUUAGAGAGAGAAAGAGACAGAUAGAUGUGUUUUUAGAGAGAGAGAGAGAGAGAGAGUGUGUGUGUGUGUGUUUGUGUGUAUAGGGGGGUUAUUUUGAAUGGCUGCUAUGGUCUUCUGAUGUUGCAGUUGUUGUUGCUGUUGUUGUUGUUGUUGCCUUGCAGCUUGCAAGGAGGCCCUUAUAAUAGUGGGAGAUGGUGGUGGGAGGGGUCUAUUUUUCCAUUCAUUAAUUGAUAGCUGAAUUUACCAAAAUGCCCCUCGCUUUUUUGUCCCCCAAUGGCUACUUCUUCUUUAUUAUUAUUAUUAUUAUUAUUAUUAUUAAUGCCCUACUUGCCUCAUUACUAGAUUAAAAUGCCUUUACCUUUCUUGCAAUGUAAAGAAGUUCCAGGGAAUGGACUUCUUCCACUCCUUCCCCUUGUUGACAUGGCAAAGUUUUAUGCCUUCCCUGCUGCAAGUCAUCUGGUUUCAUCUGUCACAUUUGUCAAACCUACUGUUCACCCCCCCCAAAAAACAACAAGCUUUAAAAAUAUGCAUUUAUUUUUUACUUUUUAAUAAUUUGUUUUUUUUUAAAAAAAAAACCCUCCUUUGAACAAGAAUUCCAUGCACAGCAAACCUAGGCAUGAAUUUUCUACAUACUUCAUGUGUGACCUCCUCUUUGUUUUUAUAUUUUUUUUUAACUUUAAAUUUCAAAUACACUGAUGAGAGACUGACAUGGUGGAUUGGAUUAGAUCUGGGCACUAAUUUCUACAACAAUGGUGGGGUUCUUCUUGCAUGUGUUUGAUCUAUUCCACAAUUCACAUUAGGCCUAGUAAGGAAUCUUGUGUGGUGAAAUUGUCUAUAUGGGUCCUUUUUAUUGGAAUGGACCACCAAAGAUGGGGAUAAUAGUUGUCAUCUAGUCAUGCUGUGACUGCCUAAGAAAAAAGAUGGGAAUGGGCCCAUGACACUGUUGGAAUUAUUAUUAUUGUCAUAAUUCAUCAAUUUACAUUAUUUGUUUUUUUUUAUUUCCCUAGUUUUCUAGAAACCUCUUGUGCAUAAUGGUAAUAAUAAUAACAUUCAAAAAUUACUAGUAGGUGUCUAUCUUAGGCUUCGUUUGAGAUUGCGGGACGGUGAGAAAGUAUGAUGAAAAAAUAUCCUACUUGUUUCCGUAUGUAAUAUUGCAUUCCGCAUAUCACAAUGAGUUAGUUACAAUAUAUUUUCUACAGUCUAAUCGAAGAACACAGAAGUAUAUCGCUAUAUGUUUUUAUCCCAAUUUCAUCAAAGCGCUCUUUGAAGAAGCACAUGGCUAUUCGAAUAAGCAUUUACAAUUUCUGGAUUAAAUUUUUUUUUCGACAUAUUUCAUUUAAGUAGGCAUUAGAGUUCGCUUUUGAGCUUGAUUAGAAACUUGAUUUAGCUUUUUAUCAAAGUAAAAAUUAUGAAUAUUUAUUAGCUAAUGUUAUUAAGAAAUCCAGGCAUAAAGUAGCCCUGGGGCACAAACCAGAGUUUGUUAUGUCAAGCCCAUCUUGGGCUAUAUUGUGCAAAUAUGGGUUUGGGCUAAUAUUGUUGGGCUCGAUCCAACCGAUUACCUAAAAGUCGGCACAGUAUUUCAUUCGUAAGAGAAGCCAACGCCGCAUAAUCCGGCGACGUAUUUCACUCGUAACAGAAUCCAGCGCCGAGUUUUACAUAACUCAAACAGUUAACCAAAGUCAGCGGCGAAUUUCACUCAUAGCAAAAUCCAACGCCGCUAUUUUAUAUUUACUCUCUUAACUCUCCCACAACCUCACCAUUCCCCCUUCCAUGGCGAUGGCGAUGGCGAUCGCGGCGAUCGUAUCCCGAAGCCGAGCUCUCCUCCCCCUUCUCCUUUCCCCUUCUCCUCUUCCUCCUCCUCUCAAUCUCCUCCACCUCCCCUUUUCCUCCUCUUCCUCUUCCUCUUCCUCUUCCUCCUCCUCCGCCCCUUCUCCCUCUUUCCCCUUCAAACCCACCAUCCCCACCUCCCCCGACCCCGAAACCAGCGACUUCGAGCGCGAGCCCGACGACGCCCCCUCCGACCCCGACGGCUCCGACCUCCCCGAGUUCCUCCAACUCCUAUCCCACGCCAAAUCCCUCUCCUCCUCGCACAAGGACGCGCUUGCCCUACUGCGGUCCUCGUCGGGCGUGGAGCGAUCUAGGGCUUUGGUCCGCCGCGCCCUGUGGGACCUGAGGUGGGAUUGGGAGUCGGCGAUGCUGGCUCUGCGGUGGGGGGAGGAGUGUGUGUUGGACUGCCCCGCGGCGUGGCACCUGGCGAUAUGGGCGAUGGGUAAGCAGGGGAGGUUCGACAUGGCGUGGUCCGUGGUGCGGAGGAUGCACAAGAGGUCCAUCCUUACGCAGCGGGCGAUGGUGAUCAUGAUGGAAAGGUGAAUGCUGUUCUAGUUUUUGAGCAUCGUAGUAAAUUGGGCAUUUAUCAAAGGAAUAAUCUUUCUUCUACUUGGAUAUGUUCUCACUUCAUUGUUAUGCUAAAUGCUUCAAUUAGUAUAUGAAAUAGUUCUAUGUGAUUCAUAGUUAUCAUGUGCGUGGUGGUGGGAGUUAUACUCAAAGCUGUGACUACUAAACUUUGAAACAAAACGGUAGAUCAUGAUAUAGUGAUUAUGAUGGACUAGUGAUUGCUUUACUAGGUUUCAGCAUGGUAGUAAAUUGGUUAUUUACAAAAAAGUAUUGCAUUUUUUAAAAAUUUUGGAUAUGUUCUGUCACCGUAGUUAUGGCUGCUUUCUUCAACUCGUAUAUGGAGUUCUCUCUUUGAUUCAUAGUUAACAUGUGAAAAGUGGGACUUUUGAAGUUAUAGUGUAUAUAUACAAGUCUACAUUACAACAAGAAAAAAAAAUGGUGUUAGGAAUCACUCUCGAAUGCUUAUGUUUCUCGGGACUACUUAAAUGUUGAAACAAAAGAAUUGAGAGCAUCUGAAGGUAUCUCUUCAUGGUCCAUUUCUGAUUGAAGUAGAGAGAUUAAACUUCUGCCUUGUUUUUAUUAGCACAGCUCAAAAUUAAGUAGUUCUCUAAAUAGGGUGCAAUUCUUUUCUGUGCCUUGCAAUAUCUGAAUUUUUCAUUAUCUGUAGGUUUGAAAAACUUUUUCUCGUUAAAUCGUCUUUUCAUCAGAAGCAGCUGCCAAAUUUGGCUUUAUAUGUAUCCCAUUUAGUGAUCUUUUCUACUUUCUUUUCCUCAUUGUUGCCAGAUAAACAGUUUUUUUCUGGGAAACUUUGAAUUUAUAUGCUUUUAUUCAUACGGAGGUAUCUCCUGCGAAAUUUCAGGUAUGCAGCUGCUAAUGAACCUGGAAAAGCAACAAAAACAUUCCAUGCAAUGGAGAAGUUUAAAAUAAGCGCUGACUUAACCGCAUUUUACUCCCUCCUUCGUGCUCUUUGCAAGAACAAGAAUGUUGAGGAGGCCGAAGAAUUGCUUCUUGUCAAUAAGAAAUUUUUCCCUCUCUCUGCAGAAAGUUUCAAUAUAAUACUCGACGGAUGGUGUAAUAUAAUGACAGAUAUAACUGAAGCAAAGAGAGUUUGGAGAGAGACGGCAAGUUGCUGCAUCACCCCAGAUGGUACUUCUUACACCCAUAUGAUUCGUUGCUUCUCAAAAGUUGGCAACCUCUUCGAUUCCUUAAGGCUUUAUGACGAAAUGAAAAAGAGAGGCUGGACUCCUGAUUUGACGGUCUACAAUUCUCUUGUUUAUGUGCUAACUGGAGAAAAUUGCUUGAAGGAUGCGCAAAAUAUAUUCAGUAAAAUUUUGGAUGAGGGACUGCGACCAACUGUAGAAACAUUCAAUUGUAUGAUAUAUCCACUGUGUGAAAGUCACAAGCUGGAGGAAGCGCAAAUGGUAAUGGAGGACAUGAUGGUGAAGGGCAUCAGUCCGGACAUCGAAACUUACCAUGCCUUCAUAAAGGAAGAGGGUAUUGACGAGACAUUGAAAAUAUUGAGAAGAAUGAGAGAUGCUCAUUGUGGCCCUAGUAAAUAUACAUUUCUUUUGCUUUUUGAUAAGUAUUUUGGAUUGAACGAAUCUGAAAAUGCAUUAAGAAUGUGGAGCGAAAUGAGGAAAUAUGGGAUUGAUCCCGACUCCUCACACUACAUUGCAUUGGUGGAAGGUUUGGUGAAACAUGGAUGGAUGCCGAAAGCUCUACAGUUUUACAAUGAGAUGAAGGACAGGGGGUUUAUUCCUGAUCCUAAACUUGAGAAAGUCUUUAAGGAAUUCAUAGAAAAUAAUAAAGAUCACUGGGGAAGAGUUGGUAAAGAUUACAUCAUUUCACAGCAUGGAAAACAUAAUGCUCUAAGAGGAGCAGCAGUUUAAUGACCGGUCGGGUAGAUUAGUUUUCUUAUGAGCACUUCUUGUGAUUGGUCUAUUUGGGGGCAUCAUAUAAAAGAGAGGAUGAAACGAAAAACUGUUGGUUUAGAGGGGAAAUGUCAAGUUGCCGUGAAUCAGAAUGCAUCCUUGCUGCUAUCUGAAACAUUCCAGUGUGGAAAAAGAUUUCCACAGUAAUUCUAAGGUACAUAUGCAUACUUUCGGAUCAUCUUACUUGUAUUAAUGGGUUGUUUAAAGUAUGAUAAAAACUUAUAUAGGUUCUUUCCAUAUUUUUCACAUUUUGAACAUCAUGUUGAGUUUCCAUUUGUACAUUAUGUCACAGUCGUUUAUAAUCUGUUUUAAGGAUGCUUAAAAGCGGACAUGCUCUUUACAUUUGAAAUUUGAGAUAAUUUCAUUAUGUUUAUCUUUUCUUCCAAGCUAUCUUUCAUUACUGUGAUAUAUCAUUAGAUUCGUACCACUUAGGCGAAAAAGGAAUAAUCAAGUUAUUAUUGUUUCAAGUCUAGAUAGAGUAAGUUUCAUAUGGUUUGCAGGGUCUUAUUAGUCUUAAAUGUUCAUGUCUUAUAUAUUUGCCUGAUUGUUGUCUUGUAUAACUUGGUAACAGGAUCAGAUUAACCUUGACUUGAUUAGUAAAUUGAUACCAAAUCUCUCAUAUUGGGUGAUGCAUGUAUCUAGCAAUGUACUAGAACCAAAUAGCAAACUUUGUUGCCGUAAAUUUCACCUGCAUUGUUUUUCUUUUCUUGCUGAAUUAUCUUAUAUUAAUUCUUGAUUGGGAUUUUGGUUCUCUCUUUCAGUUCAAGAAAGUAGCAACUUUGAUUAAACCCAAUUUUCUCCCUGCAUAUUAUGACUUUUUUUUAAAAAAAUUCAUCAACAGGUUGAGUUGAUGAACAUAAUUGAUGAUGAUCUUUUGGCCUUCAUACAAAAUGCUCAUGGUGCUGAAUCACAUGGAGUUUUCUGUGGUUUUUCGAGGCUAUUGGGCAUUUUAAGGAACCAGAAACAAUGAGAUCUAUCACUUAAACUUGUACAGCUUUGCUGCUGAUCAAGAAACACAGGUAAAGGCUUUUAACGAAAUAAUGUUUAUGAUGUGAGUGCAGCACGAGGUAAAUCGUGUUAUUGUGGACAAGGUUUUAAAUACCCGUCGGUACGGACUGUAUCCACGUAUCGUACCGUGCCAACAAGAUACCUAUACGAUACAGAUUACGUGCCGAUGGCACAGCUCAAAAUUUUCUAUUCUUUAAAUUAGUGAGUGAUUUUCUCAAUAAAGUUCAAAAGAUGUGAUAAAAAGACAUAAUAAAUUGUUAGAAUAUUUUGUUGCUAAAGAAAAUAAAUAUUUCAUGCUAUUAUGUGUCGGCACACAAAAUUUUUUUUGACCGGCACUCAUCGGCACGGUUCGACACGCACCGUGUCGUACCGUACCGACAAGUUUCCUGCAUGAUUCCGUACUACGGCAUUUAAAUUCUUGAUUGUGGACAUAAAAUUCUUCGUAUGAUCAUCAAGUUCUAAUUAUUUCACUAAUAAUGAGAUAAUCCCCUUUUGAAUAAUUGAAUUGAAUGAAUCUGAAAGUUUAGAUGAUUAUGUUGUGGGUCAACAACCUUUUUUAAGUUCUUUUUUCAUCCUUUGUUUAGAAAUGUGCUAUUUAUACACUCUUUUUGAAAUGCAAAUCAUACGUUCCAUCUUUUUAUAUACAAAUUUUUUCAGGACUCAAAUCAAUGUAACUAGUAAAAAAAUGUUACCAUUUUUACCUACUUUAACGAAUAUGAGUAGCAUUGCUUGUUUGCUUUUUUUUUUUUUUUUUUUAUAAUUACACGAGUUAUUCCUUCUCUGAAUUAGGUAAAAUUUAUGCCCAACUUUUUUUAUUAUAUUUUAUCUACGUAGAUAGAGAAAUGUAGAUCUAUGGACACCUCGUUUAUACUCAUUUCCAUCUACAAACACGUGGCACGCGUUAAAGUGGUCGACCACGUACGUGUUCCCAUCUCCAUGCACGCGCUCCUCUCCACGUGCCACCUCACCUCCCUUCACCAUUUCACUUUACAAACCAGUUUUUUUUGGCUAAAAAAAUAACAUAAAAAAGGAAACAGCACAGCAGCAGCUGCACUUAGAAAAGACCAGCAGUAGUGCCUGUAGUAGCAGCAGUAGAAGAAGAUCAUCAAAUAGAUACAGGAAAAGGCAAUACAUGCACGCUGAGAGAAUAUGAGUAAGGAGGAGUGGCGUCGUAACGCUGACACGCACAAGAUGAGCUCUGAGGAGGUGAAGGCGGCGGGGGUGGAGGCGUCGAAGCGGCCGCCCCACCCGGGCCAGAAGCCCGGGGAGGUGCUGCACCAGCGUCGGGCCCUGCCGUACAGUCCCGCUACGAUGGCGAUCGCUGGGUUUGCCAUCGUCGGCACCAUCGGGUACUUCACGCUCUACUACAAGUCGAAGCCCGGGACGUCGCCCACCGACGUCGUCAAGGUCACCACCACUCCUGAUUCGCUGCCCAGCAGCGCCGGCGCCGAUAAGGCGGAGACGGAGCGCAAGGGAAAGUAGGAGGUAGGUUGGGGGUUUUUUUUAAAAAAAAAGAAAUUAGAGGGAAAUAAUGGAGUUUCAUGCAUGGUUUUUGUCUAUGUAUAAUUACAAAUAAGAAUUAAUUAUGUUUCCAUUAUAAAUUCCACCCUCUUUAAGUUUUACACAAAACUUCGCUUUAGUUAAUUCUUAGUAUGUGAUGGUUGUGACGUUUGCUUAAAUAUUUAGGAAUUUGAUUUGGCUUAAUUUGCAUUUAUGUUAAGGGAUCUAUACCAUUUGGAGCAUUUAAAAAUUAAAUUUUAAAUUUUUUCGACAUUAUUAACCUAAUGAUCAAAGAAUUUUAAAAUUUAUAAUUUUAAUAAUCAAUAUGAGGCGUUUGACGGCAUAAAUAUAUUCAAAUCAAUUGAAUUUUAAUUAGAAAAUUUUUUAAAUUAUUUAAAAUAAGAUACAUACUCUUGAUCUUGAUUAUAAAAUUUUUAUCAUCACUUAUUAAAAGAUAUUUCUUGUCAGCCGUUCAUUUUUUUGUCCAUCAAUGGAUAAGAGAACAAUAUUGAAAAAGCAUCAAAAUUGGUUUUUACAUUCUUCAAGUAGUAUAGAUCAUAUUCAACGGUGCGGAUCGUUGAUUUGGAGAUUUCAUCGUUGAAAAUAAAUAAGUGACAAUAAAAUCCGUCUGCUACUAAUAGUAUUCUAGCUCAUAUAUCUCUCUCUCUCUCUCUCUCUCUCUCUCUCUCUAUAUAUAUAUAUAUAUAUAUAUAUAUANCAAAAUUGGUUUUUACAUUCUUCAAGUAGUAUAGAUCAUAUUCAACGGUGCGGAUCGUUGAUUUGGAGAUUUCAUCGUUGAAAAUAAAUAAGUGACAAUAAAAUCCGUCUGCUACUAAUAGUAUUCUAGCUCAUAUAUCUCUCUCUCUCUCUCUCUCUCUCUCUCUCUCUAUAUAUAUAUAUAUAUAUAUAUAUAUAUAUAUAUAUAUAUAUAUAUAUAUCUAACUAGAUUAGAAUACUAUUAAUAGCAUCAAAUCAUUUGUGCUAUUAGGUUUUCGACUCUUGGAUGAAAUGAUAUUAGGAUGAUAGAUUCCUAAGAUUGAGUGAGUGGUUGGUUGAAUAAUAUGAUUUAACAGGUGAAAAUUAUCGAAGAAUAGAUCUAAUGAUAGAAAAUUCAAUAGUACCAACAACUUGGUACUAUCAAAAGUAUAGCAGUCGGACUCUCUCUCUCUCUCUCUCUCUCUCUCUCUCUCUCUCUCUAUAUAUAUAUAUAUAUAUAGUUUUGCUAGAAUAUUAUCGGUAGUAAACGAUUCGAUUUACUACCGAUUUGUUUUCGAUGAUAAAGCUUCUAAAUUGACAAUCGGCACCGUUAAACAUGAUCUAAACAAUUUAAAUUAUCUGAAAAUUAAAUUUCAUGUAUUUUCAAUAUUAUUCUAUUUUCCAUCAAGUGAACAGAAAAAUGAAUGACUGAAAAUAAAUAUUCUUCAAAAAGUGAUGAUAUAAUUUCUGUAUUUACGAUCUAGAGUCUAGAUCUUGUUUUAAAUAGUUUAAAUUUUUUUUAAAAAAAAUAUAGUUGAUUUGAACUCUUUUAUAUCGUUAAACGAGCAAACGUACCAUAUCGGUCAUUAAAAUUAUAAAUUUUAUGACCUUUUGAUCGUUUAGUUAGUGAUGUCAAAAAUCAUGAAAUUUAAUUUAUAAAUAAUAUAAAUGGUCUAGAUCACGUUUAUCGAUUUGGAAGCUCUAUCAUUAAAAGUAAAUCGAUAGUAAAUCGAGCCGUUUACUAUCGAUAGUAUUCCAGUAACGCGCGCGCUCUCUCUCUCUCUCUAUAUAUAUAUAUAGUUUCAGAGACUCUCUCUCUCUCUCUCUCCCCCACUCCUUCAUAUAUAUAUAUAUAUAUAUAUAUAUAUAUAUAUAUAUAUAUAUAUAUAUAUAUACUUUUAUAAGUAUCACCAUCACGGUGCUAUUAGGUUUUAAGCCAUUAGAUCUACUUUUUGAUUAUUAAUAGCCCUUGGAUUAAACACUAUUCCACCUACCACCACCUACUCACCUCGUCUCAUACCUCACAUCUCUUCAUCCAAAGGGCUAAAAACACACAAGUAUCACCCCUAUGAUACUUUUACAAGUAUUCUAGCCCCUCUCUCUCUCUCUCUCUCUCUCUCUCUCUCUCUAUAUAUAUAUAUAUAUAUAUAUAUAUAUAUAUAUAUAUAUAGUUCGGCUACUAUACUAUUAAUAGUAUUAAGCUUUUCAUACUAUCAAGUUAUCUAAUAGUAUUAUACCUAAUAGCAAAAAAUUUGGUAGUAUCAAGUGCUUAAUACUACUGACAGCAUUGUAGCACGACUAUAUACAUAUAAUUGAGUUCUUAUACUUUUAAAAGCAUCCGAGUCAUUGGGUUUGAUAAGUUUUCAGUCAUUGAAUGAAGAUUUGUAGGAUUAGCAUAAUAGUUUUUCCUAAGGAUUGAAUGGAUGGUCGGUGGAAUAGUAUAAUCUAAUGGUGAAAAAUUUAUAAGCACUGAUUGUUUUGUGCUUUUAAUAAUAGAAUCAUUUAACCCCAACAAUUUAUCGAUCAUACCUAGUAUCCAGUCAAAGUCUACCUAGGGAUGUAAAAUGGGUCAUCCGGCCCGGCCCGGCACGGCUACGGGCUUAGGCACAGUACUGUAGAAUUCGUGCCGGGCCAGCCCAACCCAACAUCAUGGGCCGUGCUGGGCCAUUACUACUAAGCCCGUCGGCUCGGCCUUGGGGGUCUUUGGGGAGUUGGUGAGCCCCAAGGCCGGGGGCGGGAGAGAAAAAAUUCUAGAAUGCAACGAGUAUAUUAGUGACGUGGCGUAACAAACCAAUCAAAUGUCUUCUUUUAGAGAUAUAUGUCCCAUCAUGAUUGUAAAAAAAUAUUUUUAUUGUACUUUUGAUUGAAAAGAAGGAAUGUGAUUGACUUGUUAUUGAUGACGUAGUGCAAGUGUGAUAGUGUAGAAUUCCUCGCGGGAGAGGGGGCUGUGCUGGGCCCGGGAACCAUGAAUGUGGCCUGGCAUUGCCCUGCCCAAAAAUUUGGGCCGGGCCAGGUCGACCCGUGGCCCAGUUUGGCCAGAAUGAAUGUGGGCCAUGCCGGUCCCACACGGCCCACAUUACGCCCCCCUAAGUCCACCUAUUUGCUCCACAUAGCUGGCCACCUUUUGCACAAUAAAAAAAUUUUAAAAAAAACCCUAACAACUUCAACCACCCCUUUACUCGGAAGACUCCUUGAGGUCCAAUCAAACACCAACUCUUAAUCUGUGCACCGCACCAUCAACGUACACAAACAGCUCAUCUUGUUAAUAUCAUGCUCUCCUUGAUCACCCUAGAGCACCCUCUACCAACAUGCACCCCAUGUGGAUGGUCUCAAAAACCAAAAACACAUAAUAACUUCAAGCAAACAAACAAACAAACAAAAUGUAAGAAGCCUAAAAAAACAAACACACAGAAUUAAGCCUCAUGAAAGGAGAGAGAUUACGCGGAGAUUACCGCAAACGACGAGUAUAAUAUUGUGCCUAAUGCCCUAGUCCUUUAUAAAAUGAUAGCUUGACCAUUUGUAGAGUGUGAACAACAUUAUUAGUUUAAUACAAAACACCUCCCCGUAAUCAAACUGCCCUUUUCAUUUCACUAGUUUAUAACUUUAUAUAGCUCCAUACGUAUCCCUUACCUUAGUUUUAAUACACUUAUUAUUAUUCUGUGACAGUGAAGAGAGAUCAAAUGACCUCACCAAUGUGGAGACUUGAACAUGAGAAGAGCACAAAUUGCUCCAAAGAUACAUAAAAUUGAAACAAAUAAUUGGACAAAGUCGCGAUUGCGAUUACGUAGAAAUGUUGGUUUCAAAUAGAAGUUAGUAAACAAAAAAAGAAGAGUGAGUUGUGUAUAAGAACAUUCCUCUUUAAGUUGAUAGCUUCAAAUAGAGAAUUAAAGCACACCCUUUUUAGCCCCAGGUAUAAGCUAACAAGCACAUUUAGUUAGAUUGGCAACUUAUUUGAGGCAUUGUGAUGAGAAAUUCCUUUUUGUCAAAACAAUACCUUGAUAUAAACUCAUUAUAGUGUAGAGAGGAAGAUUCUUUAUUAAUUUAUGAGUUGACAUAGAGCAUACAUAGCAAGCUACAUAAAAUAGUAUGGUUUACACAUCAACACCAACCAUUGACCCUGUUAAAUCACCAAUUGCAUUAGGUAUUCACAAUUGUUAGGAUAAAUAAAUAUUUCUAGAAUUCAAUGAUCUCUAGUUGUGUUAGAUAACCAUGAGAAGUAGAAGCAAACUAAUGGAUCACUAAAAUGAUGAUGUGGAUGAGAAAUUGUUCCUUUGUUGGUUAUAGCAAAUUGAUCUACCAUUUGAGAACACAAUGAGAACAAAAUUUCAACUCUAUAUAUAUACACACAAUAAAACAAGCAACAUCAACAAAAUGUUCACACUAAGAUUUAAGCAUGCAUUGUAGCAAAGAGUGGAUAAAACAGAGAUAAGAGAGAGAGAGAGAGUUACUGAUACUGCUCAUCAGUGGUUGGUUUCCUCCGCGCCCGGCUAUAGGUUUGCGCGCAGGGCGACGGCGAGAAAUCGAGGACCGGCGCGACCGGCAAGUCCAUCUCCCCCUUCAGGAUUUGCACUAUCUCCCCGCCGUCUGGUCUCAACUCCGGCAUCUUGUUCAAGCACAAGAGGGCCAAAUGUAUGCACAGGGUGGCUUGCUCCUUGUCAUACUCACCCUUCAGCUUCUCAUCCAUGAUCUCCAACACAUUGCCGUGCCGCGCCAAUUGGCGGCACCAGCUGAUGAGAUUCGCCUUCUCGAGCUUCAUCGGCGACGAGAGGACGUGAAGAGGCCUUCGCCCCGAUAGGAUCACGAGCACGAGAACUCCGAAGCUGUAUAUAUCGACCUUCUCCGUCAGAUGCGUGGAGGCGCCGUACUCGGGGGCGGCGUAGCAAACCGUCCCUCGCAUGCUCGUCGUGCUGCUCAGCUCCCUGCUGAACAAGUCGCCGCUGAAGAAGUCGAAGUCGCUCCCUGCGGAUUUGCUCCUCUUCUUGCUCUUCCAGCCCUUUCGAAAGCUUAUGUCGAAAUUCGACUCAAAACCGCAUCUUUUACCGUCGCUGCGGUGAUGGUUUUCUUCUCCGUUGGCGGCGGCGGCAGCGGCGGCGCGAUUCGUACUAAUCGAUCGGAACCAUUUCGAUCUCUUCCUGUUGCGUUCGCCAUUGUUGCUGAUCUCUGCAAAGUACUCCUCCUUCCACCACUCCCUCAUCUUCCGGUUGUUGUUCUUCUCCCCGCCGCAGCCGCCGUCGUCGACGGCGGCGGAAGCCAUUUUCUUCUGCUUCUUCCUCUCCGGCGGCGGGGCCUCCCCGGAUUCGAGCUUCUCCGCGCGGCGGCUCGAGCUCCCGAGCUCGAAGCGCUUCUCGGGGGAGCGGGAGCGGGAGCGGCGGCUGGGCCGCUCAUCGUCCCAGACGGGGUUCUGCGGCGCGGGGCCGGCGAUUUGGCUGCCGAUCCACUCGGCGACGCAGUCCCUGGAAUCCAACUCUCCGCUCUCCUCCUGCUUCCACCACCAAUCCUGGCCGCCCAAUUCUCUGCUGUGAUCGCCCAAAGGCGGGUCCUUUGGCGCAGGGCUCGCGCCGAAACCGGAAGACGAGGGCGGGUGGGUCGACGGGAACAGCUCCUGGCUGGGGCCGAGCUCCUGGCUGAGCAAAUCGGCAUGGGAAUGGGCAUAGGUCGUGUCGGUUCUAGCGGCAUGGCACCUCCUCCAAAUUCCAUGGUAGGUUCUGGCCUAGGCAUGGGAAUGGGCAUGGGAAUGGGAAUGGGCUUGGGCAUGGGGGGUUUUGAAGCGGGCGAGGCCGAAAUCGGCGAGCUUGGCGUGGAAGUCGGGGCCGAGGAGGACGUUGCUGGGCUUGAGGUCGCCGUGGACGACGGGGGGGUCGAGGUCGAGGUGGAGCACGGCGAGGGCGCGGGCGACGUCGAGGAUGACGGCGAAGCGGCGGGGCCAGUCGAGGUCGGGGUCGUCGCCGGGGCGGAAGAGGGCGUCUUGGAGGGAGCCGCGGGGCAUGAAGGGGAAGACGAGGAGGUGGGGGCGGCGCGGGGAGGAGGAGAGGGAGUGGCCGAGGAGGGGGAGGAGGAAGGGCGAAGGGGGCAGGGAGGAGAGGAGCCGGAGCUCGGCGUGGGGCGGGGCCGAGAAAGGGAAGAGCUUGACGGCGAGCGGGGAGCGCUCGUCGUCGUCGUCGUCGAAAGAGGAGUGUUUGGGGGGGAGGGCGAGGAAGACGGAGGCGGAGGCGCCGCGGCCGAGGGAGCGGGAGGGGUGGAAGGAGGCGGUGGCGCGGCGGAGGCGCCGGAAGGAGAAGCGGCGGAGAUGCGGAGGCGGGGAGACCGGCAGCGUUUGGAGUGGCCGGCGCCGGCGGAGCAGGAAGAAGAAGAAGAAGGGGACGGAGAGCAGCAGCAGCAGCAGNCAAAAAAAAAUCGGAGAAUAUUAGGACUAUGCACAUAUACGUGAGGAAAAAGAGAUUUAAGAGAGAGAGAGAGAGAGAGAGAGAGAAAUGAAAAGGUGGUGGGGGGUUUUAGUUAUAGUUCUAGUUCUACUUUUAGUUUUAGUUUCAAUUUCAGUGAGAAGGGGGUUUUUAGAGUCAGUAGUUUUGGAUUUUGUGCUGAUUUAGAUUUAGAUGUGGGGAGGAGUUAUUAUUUGGAUGAAGAAUUGAAGAUUAGAAAGAGAUUAGGGGAUCUCAUCUCACGAUAAAGAGAGAUUCUAUUAUGUAUCAAUCACAUUAUAUAAUCUAUUAAUAACUGAUUAUAUUUUCUUUUGAAAAAAAAUAUAAUAAAAUAAUUUUUUAAUAAUUAUGUUGGAAUGGAUGAAUUUAAAAAAAAAUAAUAUGAUUAGUCGAUAACGUUAUAUCAGGAAUUAACUGACGUAUUUUAUUUUAUUUUAUUUUUUACGGUGAGAUGGGAAUCAUUAGAAUGCGUUUCUUUUCUCACUCAAAUCUUAACGACGGACUAGAUAAGCAUAGACCGGUGAUGAUUCUGUCUAUACAUUUGUGAGUCGAACACGAGCGCUAAAUUCCAAGUUAUUAUUCAGAUGGAGAGUUUAAGUUGAGCCGAACACAAGCAAAUUAAGUUUAAGAAGCGCAACUCAUUUAUUCAAACAACCCGGUCAAACGAUCCAUACCAAAUUAAAAAAGAAAAGCUGCUUUUGAAUAUGGCUUCAUACUUUGUUUACUUUUCUUUUCCCUUCUCUUUUUUUUUUUUUUUUUUUUUUUUUUUUUUUUUUUUUUUUUUGUCUUUUUGUGGUUUUGGGAUGUGAGCGUAGAGAAUGGGAAAGGGUAUAUUCACCGUGUUUGGUACGGAGCCAUUUGUAUCUGGGUAAUAGGAAAAAUAGCCAACACGAUCUUCAAUAAAGCAAAAGUUAAAAAAAAAAAAAAAGGGAGCAAGGGAGACCCACUCACUAGCCUUUGCCUCUGCCUUUUUGGUUCUUGGUCAUCAUGAUUCAAAGGGACAAAACUCUGUUGUGGGGAUUGAAGGCAAAGUGCCAUGCUCAUGACCUUUUCCCUUUUUUUAUUUACUAAUUCAUUGAUUUGUUAAUUCUUCUUUUAUGAGUAAUGAUUCACUGUAAUAAUCUUUUCUUAUGGCACUGUUUAAUAUUUUCCAUUAAGAUCAUUUGGGCCAAUUUAAACUUAAUUUAGUGUUUUAUGGUGAUAGGUAAUUAGUAAUUAUUUAUAUUUAGAGGUGAUAUGGCUAAUAAUCUCGUAGCUGAUUUAGCUACCUCAACAUUACUGUUAUUCACCGACCGUGAUCGUCCCUAGUGCAAAUGGAAAUUCUAGUUGAUUUAUAUUAUUAGCUAAGUUUAUUUUUUUAAAAAAAUAAACAAAGCGAAUAGCAUACUAACUAUCUCUCGCAAAAAACAUUACUAUUAUUCAAUUUACAUCAUAUCUUAAUUCGACCAGAAUAAUUAGUAGUUCCCCAGUACAACUGUACUUCUAUUACAAUAAUGAUAAAUAAAAUUUGAUAAAUGUCUCGAAUGUAGAAACUUCAAAAUUUUUAAUUUAUUUUGUCAAAGAAUAUACAGUUAUUACUUAUUACCUGAGAUACUAAACCAGACACAAUAAAGGUAAGAUCAAAGAUAACAUCUAAGUAUAUUUCUUCUUCUUUUUUUUUUUGAGAGAUAGAUAGCACGCUAUCCGCUUCGUUUAUUUUAUUUAGAAAUAAACUUAGCUAGAAAUGUGAAUAAAUUAGGAUUCGAACUUGGAUCUCGAGUGCCAACCACCGAGCCUGAGCCCCUUUUAGAUAAAGAUCCUAAAGAUGGGGCCUCAAAAAUCUGUCUAAUUAAGCUCAGAAGAAGAUCCUGCUGCAUUGAUACCACUGUAAUCCAAGCCACUGCAUGCUCAAAUUAUGAAGCUGACUUUUGUCAGAAGAGAUUAUUUCAACAUUAGCUCAACUUUUCAUCAGGUGCUGCGCGCUUACUUUUCAUUGUUUUGUAAACAAAAUGCGAAUUUGUUUUUCUCAUUAGUCAUGACCAAACAAGAAAGCUCGAAAAGAGCCGCCACCAGUUUGAGAGUGAAAAAUACUAUUUGUACAUUCAAAAAUGGGUGGUUAAUCUUAUAUCCAUCCAUUCAAAAAUUUAAAUAUUAUUUUAAAUUUUUAAUGUUAAAAAAAAUUUAAUAAGACUAGUAUAAGAAUAUUAAUAUUUGGAUAAAUAAAAUAUAUAAUUUGCACAUAUUUUUUAGAUGUAUAAUAGCAUUGCUCAUUUGUCAGCCUGCAUAUAUAUAUAUAUAUAUAGAGAGAGAGAGAGAGAUGAACUGGAAUGUNCUAAUUCAUUGAUUUGUUAAUUCUUCUUUUAUGAGUAAUGAUUCACUGUAAUAAUCUUUUCUUAUGGUACUGUUUAAUAUUUUCAAUUAAGAUCAUUUGGGCCGAUUUAAACUUAAUUUAGUGUUUUAUGGUGAUAGGUAAUAAGUAAUUAUUUAUAUUUAGAGGUGAUAUGUCUAAUAAUCUCGUAGCUGAGUUAGCUACCUCAACAUUACUCCCUAGCGCAAAUAGAAAUUCUAGUUGAUUUAUAUUAUUAGCUAAGUUUAUUUUUUUAAAAAAAUAAACAAAACAAAUAACAUACUAACUAUCUCUCGCAAAAAACAUUACUAUUAUUCAAUUUACAUCGUAUCUUAAUUCGACCAGAAUAAUUAGUAGUUCCCCAGUACAACUUGUACUUCUAUUACAAUAAUGAUAAAUAAAUUUUGAUAAAUGUCUCGAAUGUAGAAACUUUAAAAUUUUUAAUUUAUUUUGUCAAAGAAUAUACAGUUAUUACUUAUUACCUGAGAUACUAAACCAGACACAAUAAAGGUAAGAUCAAAGAUAACAUCUAAGUAUAAUUUUUUUUUUUUUUUUGAGAGAGAUAGAUAGCAUGCUACCCGCUUUUGUUUAUUUCAUUUAGAAAUAAACUUAGCUAAAAAUGUGAAUCAACUAGGAUUCGAACUUGGGUCUCGAGUACCAACCACCGAGCCUGAGCCCUUUUUAGAUAAAGAUCCUAAAGAUGGGGCCUCAAAAAUCUGUCUAAUUAAGCUCAGAAGAAGAUCCUGCUGCAUUGAUACCACUGUAAUCCAAGCCACUGCAUGCUCAAAUUAUGAAGCUGACUUUUGUCAGAAGAGAUUAUUUCAACAUUAGCUCAACUUUUCAUCAGGUGCCGCGCGCUUACUUUUCAUUGUUUUGUAAACAAAAUGCGAAUUUGUUUUUCUCAUUAGUCAUGACCAAACAAGAAAGCUCGAAAAGAACCGCCACCAGUUUGAGAGCAAAAAAUACUAUUUGUACAUUCAAAAAUGGGUGGUUAAUCUUAUAUCCAUCCAUUCAAAAAUUUAAAUAUUAUUUUAAAUUUUUAAUGUAAAAAAAAAUUAAUAAGACUAGUAUAAGAAUAUUAAUAUUUGGAUAAAUAAAAUAUAUAAUUUGCACAUAUUUUUUAGAUGUAUAAUAGCAUUGCUCGUUUGUCAGCCUGCAUAUCUAUACUACUUAUAAAAGCGAGAGUUUUGAAUUGUUUUCUCUUUUCAAAAAUGGCUCUAUCCUUUUUACUAAUAUUUUCAUGUCCAGUAAUUUUUAACCAAUCAUUUCAAAUAAUUUACUAAGUAAUAAUUUAUUCUCAAAUAAAGAUAUUAAUUUUUUGUCAUUAGAUCUUAUCUAAUGAUUGAAAAUAAAAGCAUCUGUUACUUUUUGUGACAAUAAUACUCUCGUAUUUAUAUCAUAUUUUCUAUCUACGCGUUUUUCAAAUAUUUUUCUUCUCACGCGUAAUAUCCGCACCCGCCAAUUCUUUCGCAACGUAAUAUUUGUGAAUUUAUCAAAUAUCUCAUUAAUCCACCUACCAUACACAUCCACCACCUGCAACGUAAUAUCCGUGAAUUUCUCAAAUAUCUCAUUAAUCCACAUACCAUACACAUCCACCACCUACAUAAUAUCCAGUUAACCUUUCUCAUACGUAAUAUGACCUAUCAUAAUUUUGAAUUAAACAUAUCAUCGCAUUUGAAUUUAAAUAUUAAAAUGAUUCAAAAUUUAAUUUUAAAUCAAAUAUGAAUUUUAUUGCGAAAAUAUCUUUAUCUUUUUAACUAAUUUUUUCAUGUCCAAAAAUUUUGAACCAUUCAUCUCAAAUAAUCCAUUAAAUUUUGACGCAUUUGAAUUUAAAUCUUAAAAUAUAUCGAAAUUAAAUUUUGAAUUUUGAAUUAGUAUUUACGGUUUAAGAUUUAGAUAAUUGUUUAAUUGGUAUAAUUUGACGUAAUUUGAACUUAUUUGAAUUAAUUUUAUUUAAUUUGGUUUAAAUAUAAUAAUUAACUAAGUAAUAAUUUAUUCUAAAAUAAAGAUAUUAAUUUUUUGCCAUUAGAUCUUAUCUAAUGAUUAAAAAUAAAAGUAUCUGUCACUUUUUGUGACAAUAAUACCUUCGCAUUUAUAUCAUAUUUUCUAUCUACGCGUUUCUCAAAUAUUUUCCUUCUCACACGUAAUAUCCGCACCCGCCAAUUCUUUCGCAACGUAAUAUCCGNGCAUUAGUAGAUGUUUUUUUAAGUUUUAGGAUAAAUGGGACACUUAUUCAAAAGUGUCCCAAACAUGUGUCCCUAUAAUCUAAUUCUGUUGUAGUGCUUAGGGGGCCCACAUCAUCCUAACCGCACAUCUUUUAAUCCAAGUGCGAAAAACUUAAUAGCACCAAGUCAUUGGUGCUAUAUAUAUAUAUAUAUAUAUAUAUAUAUAUAUAUAUAUAUAUAUAUAUACUCUUCAAGACAAUAAAAAGAAGGGGUAUAUGAUGAGAAUGAAAAGCUUGUUUGUCUCUGAAAUCUUAUCCUCUCCAAAUAAGCAUGCAUGCGGAUGAUCAGCUCACUUGGACGCAUUCAAAGCAUUUAUAAUGUUGGACAUUACAAUAUGAAUGAAUUCUCUCAUCAUUAAAGAGGUUACUUAGUGCUAAAUUUUAUCUUUAAACAGUUUUAGUUAAAGCAGAAGUUAUCUACAUAUGGAGUUCUCUCUUCAGUUCUCCUCUCCGUAUGCCCGGUUUAUCGGUUGGUGCUCUCAACUCCUUAGUAGGAGUCUAGGAGAUUCUGAAUUCAAAUCUGUGUUUUAAAAACUAGGUCGGAGUGUGACCCAAUUCCUAGGCCGGAUUAGUUCGAACAAUAAAAUCGGAAAGCUUUAAAUCCCGUAUCGACCUAUUUGAACAAAUGGUUCGACUGCGAAAGGGAGUCCCACUAUCUAAUUCACUUUCAAAUUUUUUUUUUUUUUUUUUUGUUUGAGUUACCUGCUUCAUUUAUUUUAUUUAGAAAUAAAUUUAGCUAGAAAUGUGAAUCAACUAUAAUUUAAACCUGAAAUCUUAGGUACCAAUCACUAAGCCUUUUGCCACUUGCGCUAGGAACAAUCGGUAAUUCACUUUCGAACUUAAAAUGCUAAAAUGGCCACUACUCUCUUACCAAGUGGGGCAUUUGCGAGACAUCAAAAGCAAGUUUGUCGAUUAGUGUAUGGUCUCAUGAGUUCUCACCUCUAGUUAAAAAGAACCGGAUAAAGUUGUUCUAAACUGGAAAAAAAACCCAAAAAACUAAUGAGCACAUACCAGGCCAAAGAGAAGGACCGACGAGUUUAGUUUCGUCAUUGGAUUAAGGCCUUGUUUGGCCCAGCGGUGUGUGCGGCCUGCUGCUGAUCUUUAUGCGAGAAACCCCGAAUCAGAGCUUUCUCAGUAACAUGGUGUUUUGCAGUUGAGCGCCGCAAAACUGCGGCCAAAUGAAAAUGUUAAGCAACUUAAGUUUCUACACAUCGCAAAUUACCACGCAAUGAAAUUCUAUUAAAGAUAAAAUAAGAGUACGAAAUUUCAAUAAAUGUAUUACAGCAGUACUUCUAGUUAACGCGGAAAGGAUGACAUAGAAAAUUAAGAAAAGGAGAACGAGAAUGGUGUAUACGAAUGAACCCUAAUUUCUAAACCAGCAGGAGGCAUCCUUAAAGAUCAUCAAAAGAUAAAAGAACUGAUGAAUGAAAAUAAAGCUGCGAAUUACUUUUAACGAACCUCAAGAAAAGGAAUUAACCUCCCACACAGUAUAGAAUCGCACAGCUCGUAUCUCAAAAAUAAACCCAUAUGAUGGUGUGUUGUUUGCUUGAUCCAAACAAAUGAUGUCGCCGAACCACGCGCUUAAUCGAUCUUCACGGAAGAGUAAAUCAACCGAGUGAACCAGAAGCACGCAUAGAACCCGAUCGUGCCGGUAAGAACAAAGAAGGCAUAGGAGGCAAUGAGCAUGUAGCCAAAGUACAAAAUCCCGGACACUGGCUUUGUGAUCUCGAGCUUUGUGAAGAAGUAGAAGGUGGCGUAGAGGAAGAGGUAGAGAGCUGAGGAUCCUGAAGUCAAGUACGACCUCCACCACCACAGGUAGUCCUCGCUGCACAGCUGGAAGUAGCAGAGCACGAUGGUGAUCUCGGCACAGGUGACGAUAAGGAUAAUGAAGACCAGGAAGAGGAAUCCGAAGAUGUAGUAGAACUGCUGGAGCCAAAUGGAGGUGAGGAUGAAGAAGAGCUCGAUGAAAACAGCCCCGAAGGGAAGGAUCCCUCCAAUCAGUAUGGAAAAUAUUGGGUUCAUGUACCAAGCUUGUUCAGGGAUUUGCCUUGGAAUUUUGUUCGUUUUCACCAGGUCUUCAAUGGCAGGUUUCUGGAAGCCGAUAUAGCUUCCCACAAAUACGAGGGGGACGGAGAUCCCAAACCAGAGCAAAACAAGGGCGAACAUUGUAGUGAAGGGUACUGCUCCUGAGGACUUCUCCCCCCAGAUUAGGGCAUUUAAGACAAAAAAAAUGGCAGCGACAACCCCAGGGAAAGUGAAAGCUGUUCUAAGAGUGAUUUUUUUCCAUUCUGAGCCCUUAAACAUUUUAUAUAGCCGUGCAGAGGAGUAGCCAGCGAACAAACCCAUGAAAACCCAGAGAAGGAGCAUGGCAGUCAUUAGCCCUCCUCUGUUUGAGGGAGAGAGGAAGCCGAGGACGGCGAAUAUCAUAGUGACAAGGAGCAUACCGAAGAAUUGGACACCAGUGCCAACAUAUACGCAGAGUAGGUCAGAGUUAGACGGGGGGCGGAACACAUCACCGUGCACGAGCUUCCAUCCAGUUUCUUCUUGUGCUUCCUCUUGGGUUUCAAGCUGGUUGUACUUGGAGAUAUCUCGGUAUAGUGUGCGGAGCAUGAUCAUCGCCACCAUACCAGAUAGGAAGAGGACAAUCAUCAGAGAAUUGACGAUGGAGAACCAGUGGAUCUGAUCGUCGUUCAUUAGAAGGUAGGUAUCCCAGCGAGAUGCCCACUUGACAUCACUCUCCUGCAAGUAGAGAAAGAUAAAAGACCAUAUAUCAGUUUUAGUUCAUUAAGGAAUGAGCUCACUUGUGAAUAGGUAACAUUUAUUAGUUGCUGCUACCUGAAAGUCGAUAUCGUAGGUAAAUAUAAUAUCCUUAUUAACUUCGACCUCCUGAGGAGAAUCAGAGUUCACAACAGAACGCUUUGAAUGAGGAUCGCAGGUGCUCAGGCGAGUCUUAUUACCAUUCCAUUGGCCUUCAAACUCAUGUUUAACACUGAAUCAAAGGAUAUUUUAUUAGAGAGAACAAAUGGCGGGAGAAACCCAAUGCAUAUAUUAAGCCUUGAAAAUCGAAUUGUACCUGAAUGGUUUAACCUCGAAGCCAACUAUUCUAGCAGAGUCCAUAUUUGUAUCCUUGUGAUACUUGACUAGAAAUGAUAAAUGGUUGUGGAUGAAGUAUUUCUCAUCCUUACUCUACAAAGAAAUGGUUUAUACACAAGAAAAUCACAAACCUCAACAUACUAAACUAGAUGAUUCUAGCAGAUACAUACUAAACUAGAUGAUUCUAGCAGAUACAUAUAUUUUUUUGUAAAAAAUAGAUUUACUUACUCCAGAAUAUUGUCCUUUGACACCAACGUGAAAGCCAUGCUGAUAAACAACAGCUGAAUCCUGAUCCAGUCUUUUGAUAGGAACAACUAGUGGGAGAUUGUCAAGAAUCCUGUAGAUGAAUUGAAUUAGAAAAUGACAAAUCUCAUUUAUGCUUUUUCUCCAAUUGCAAGUACGAAAAACAGAAGCCUUACAUGUUUAUGCGGUACUCGUCCUCUAUCUUUUCCUUAAAAUCCUUUGCUUCCUUCUCACCGGGAGUAAUCUUGCAGACAAUCUGGCACAUCUUAGGCUCUCUCAUCUCAAACUGCGAACGGGAAAAUCAAUAGUUAAAGAACAACUGAGAUAUCAGAAUAUUAAAGAGAAAACAGAUUCGCACUACAUCAAUGUGGUGAAACUAACCACAUAUGGAGAGUUCUCUAUUCGGUCCCCACGAAGAACUUCGCCGAGGUUUUCUGCACUCUCCACUACAGUAUCUGGUCGGCAGUAAGGGAGAGAAUAGUAGGAGUAUGGGAGCUGUGUCUUUAUAGAACUUAGCUUGUUGACCUUCACCGGAAGCGGAUCUUUCUGCAGACAUCAUUAUUGUACUACAAUUAAAGCAUGGCAGAAAACCAAAAUGCUUUUCUGAUAGUAAACCAUAUCAUCACUAGAAAUGAAAACAAACUUUAAGGAGAUUCCAAUGAAAAGAUUCUCGUAAAGAUCAGUAUUUAACAUCCAAUAUUUUAUAUGCACUACAUCACUUAAGAGAGGUUCUCAAAACGUAGACAUAAAUUGGAGCAGAGUAAUGUGUGAAAUAACUAAAAGUUGAAUAUACUAUCAGCACUAAUCUCUCAUGCGCACAUGCAUAAAAAACAAGAACUUCAUACACCAUCAAUUGAUAGAGAGAGAGAGAGAGAGAGAGAUACAGAAAGUCUAUGGUAUCUUGUGGCGGAAAAAUCUUUUCUACUAGUAUAAAUGUAGGUCCAAUAGAUACAAUGGGUAAAUAAGAUUGUUAAAUAUAUCUUAGAAUCUUGGACUCUAUCAACUCCAUGCAGCAUCCUAAAUAAUUUGGAGAGAACGGGAAAUUCGUUAAGUCAAUGGAGGAGUCCGGGCUUUGACUUGGCUACGGAGCUAAUCAAAUACUUUUGAAUUUUCAGAUCUGGCUUAAAUUCUUUUCUUAUUUCAGGCGGCCAUUAUACUUCAUAUAAUAUUGUGUAAAAUUACCUCUAAGUAACUAGCACAAUCUCUGCUCCGGCUUGUUCAAAUUUUAAGCAUCUGAUUAAUAUGAUGCAUUGGUACAAGAACAACCUCCACAGAGUAAUAUUAUGUGUCAAACCACAAGGAUCCAGCUUUCUCCAUGCACAAAAUCUCGCCUUUAUCGACAUAAAUAACAAAACACGUAAUAAAAAGUACGAAUAGGCUAUUAAAAAGAGCUGUGCAUGAUACUGCAGCAUAAAAGCAAAAUUUGCAAGCUUAAAAACUUUUUACACAAUUCACACAGAUCCAGAUCUAACCGAGAACGACCUUUCCGAUUCAAAUCGCACUACAUCUAAAAUAAAAUAUAUUAUCUAAAUCUAACAAUCGAUAUAAUACGAAAUCCACCUCGCGAGAGCUCCGGAUCUAAAUACCACACUAAAUUCGCACAACAUGAUACCAGAUCUAAGGUCAGGGGCGGAGAUCGAGAGGAGAUCCGACGCUGACCUGCUGGAAAUCGGCGGGGGCGACGCCGGGGAGGUAGAAGCAGCGGGCGGGGGCGGCGAGGAGCAGGAUCACCGCUGCGAUCCAUGCGAGGAGCGCCGGCGACCGCGAGAUCUCCAUUGAUGGAGAGAGGGGAGAGGAGGGGGUGCGUAGGGUCUUAGGGUUAGGGUUAGGGUUUCGACGGAGAAGACGAAGAAGAAGAAGAAGCAGGUGUCGGGAGCUGAGACCUCUUCUCCUCUCUCUCUCUCUCUCUCUCUCUCUCUCUCUCUCCACUUCUCAGAAUCGCACUGCGAAAUGGUGUAUUUUUAUUAAGAGUAUUUCGAGGGGCGAAUCGGUGAACGCGAGGGAUUAAAAAAAUGUCGGUUUAUUUAAUUUUGCAAUUUGAUCCUCACAACUUUUUUUUGUGCAAGUUGAUCCUCAAUUUUUUGACCGCAAAUAACUUAUUCAAUACAAAGGCCAAUCUUUUUACUGAAAUGUAUUUUUUUAAAAAAAAACAAUCUCAAAACAUUAUUCGUCUCCUAAUUAUAUCUUCAAACUUUUCGAAACAAACUGAAUUUAAUGAAAUUGUCUUAGCUAGAUUUUUCAAGAAAGGCUAAAAAUAGGAUUAUAUUCAGAAAAGUAAUUCUAGUAUUAGAAAAGUCAAAUUAUGGUAACAUUAGGAGCAUUAGCACUAUCAUGCAUGUUACAUCAUUUUGGGGGUAAAAUAUGGUUGCUAUGUCAACAGCAAAGAGGACAACAUGGUUUGUAAUUAGGUGUAUGUUAACAUUUGGCCCAAAUUGAGCUCACCCUAUUGGGUGAAAAUGGGGCAAUGCCCAUGUGACAAGUAGUUAGGUAUGAGGUACAAUUUGUUUUUUAUUAUUGUUCACUAUUAAGUAUACAUGUUAUAGGGCACUACCCAAUUAAUAAUAAAGUAGAUAUAUUCUUUCGAAAGUAAAUGCUUUUGACUUUUGAUGUUAGGCCAUGGUUAGCAUGGAAUAAAGAUGAGAUUUAUUCUCGGAAUUUGGGCUACCAAAUUUUGAAAAAAAAAAAAAAAAAUACCUCGUGUGUAAAAAAUUUCUGUGCAUCAUAUUCCAAGUCUCAAUUGUUGGUUUCGAUUACAGAGAGGAUCUGGCAUUUAGGAUAAAUAGAUCAUCAAUUCACAGAAAUUUUUUGCGUACUAGGUCUGCGGAGGAUCUGUACCCCAAAAUUUGUUGAGUGAGUAAUCCUUCUCCAGCACCUGUUCUACAUAUAAAAUACAUUAGUUAUAUUUGCCAUGCAGAGAAAGUGAGGAAAAAGUAGGGGAAUUACAAACUUCACAAUACAUUGGUCCUUUUUGUUAGCCUCAGUGAUAAUGUAGAAAUCAUACAAUGUAUAGUACAGAGAAAUCUAUACACAGCAUUUAAACAACCACCAAGCUCCACAACUCAAAUCUCAGUUCUCUCUGCUAAAUUAUGACCGAUGAUUAUGAUGCUCUAAUCCAUGUUUGCUGUCUUGAUCCCAAGAUUCCACUAGGACUAUACAGAAGAGCUAAUACAACAACAUUAACCUGCCAAUAAUAGUACGUAAAUAAAUACGACACUACUGUUAAAAUUCUGUUUAAUCUUCAAGUAUUCUGGACCGCAACUGGCGGGGAAUUUUCACCGAAAUGAGGUUUCUUUAUGCCGUCAGGGUUAGUUCGAAUGCUUAGAAGAGUCUGAGCAGAUUCCAGCGCCUUCUCGCCUCCGAGUUCUAUAGCCUUGUUGCCAUUUGAUUCUGCAUCUACAUGUGGCAGAGAGUCCUUUGGAGGUUCACAAUCCGAUGCGGCGUUUGGUGCGUUAGGUUGUUCGCCUUUUGCAGUAAUGGAGGGACGUGGACUUCCUUUAGAAUCGUUGCAGCUAAAAGCUGGUUGUUCGUGGUUGUGUUUACCUUCGUAAGUUAUGACAAUGGAUUUCGCAUCAUCUGAUGCUCUCUCAACGUGCUUACGAACAGGACAGCCGUCAUGUGUGCACCGAUAGUAGCUCCUGGAAAUACAACACUGAAGUAUUAGAGUAGAAUGGAACAGAAACAGCAUUACUUUGGUAAAUAAUAAGUAAACAAAAAUUUGAUAGCAUAGAUCUACUAAAUGUUGCAUGUUUAAGGACCAAAUUUUUUAAAUUGAAAUCAAGCUUCACACCUAAAUUUAUAAUUAACCCCAUUUUAUAUCUUAGUCCAUCUCAAAACAUGAUUGAUAUCCAAAUUGGAUGUAAAGUUAGCACACUAUGAUCGUUGAUAUAUCCAAAUUGGAUGUAAAGUUAGCACACUAUGAUCGUUGAUAUAUCCAAAUUGGAUGCAAAGUUAGCAGUACAUGACAGCUCUUUAACUUCAUCUGCUGGAUUCAAAACAUCGUUUAUACUAAGCAUGUGCAAUGGUACUACAAACAUAGUAGCAACUCAUAGCCUUUCAACUUCAGCAGGUCCUUUGAAAACAGAUUAAAGUAAGCUAUUACAGCAACAUAUGGCUUGCAGGUCGAAAACCAUAUCAUCAAAAUUAGAAAUAAAGUUGUCAAGUAGUACGUACUCUUGCAAUAGGUUUUUCCUACUUAAUAUAAUAUUUAAAUGGCAUAAAGUCUAUUUGAAGACAUUUGACUCCAAUCAACUCUCACUAGACUCCAAAUAGCUAAUACAAGGCACUCAGUCUCAAAAACUUGUAAAGAAGAAAAUGACACAAAAUAAUCUGUUGAAAACUUAAAAUUAGAAAGAAUACCAGAUGAAGAUAAAAACUUUUAAGAACAUAGGAGUCUCUCCUACUAUGUUACACACCUGUGCUAUCAACUUUGUACAAUACACUGGUCGAGUUUUUGCUCAUUCACCCAUUUGCUAUUAUCUUUCAAUUGUGAAGAAUACAUAUCAGUUGCUUUGAAUAGAUAGAAGGGCGAGGUCUAACCACCAGGGUGAUGUCUAACCACAUAUUAUUUGUCUACACUCCUAUUUCGAUGCAUAAGAACUUUUAAUCUCCCCAUCUAAACAAAAAUUCAACUUUCAAUGAAUCCCUUGAUCUUCCCAGUUGUAAAGGGCUGAAUCUUUCCGUUUCCUUCAUAUCCCAUGGAAAAGAGAGCUAAACUGAAAAUUUAGUUCCCUUUUUGUCUUUCUAUUAUUUGACUAGGCUCCUAAAAGCAUUCAACAUCAGUUUCAUACCCUGCAAUAAAUAACUACUAAUGCUUCAGGGAAUUCGUAAUGAGUUAUUCUACAGCAAACUACUCACUCUUAAAGGAAGGCCUAGAUGAAUGAUGGCGAGGCGAUGCUGUGAAUCACAUGGCAUACUGUUUGGUUAUUUACAUAAACUAUAAACAUCAGAGAUGCCAGAAAAUAAUUCCCGUUCGUAAUUAUAUAGUUUCAGGUGUUUGUUCUACUUUGAAAUAUAUUCUUAGAGAUAACAGUACACAGACAUGGCAUAUCAGCUACUUCUUUAAUACAAGGAUGACCAAUUAUCUUCCACAGUAAACCACAUAAUGCUGCACAGCUGACAAAGUGAACUAAUUGUAACACACUUCUGAUCUAAUUACUAAGAUUAUGUUUGACACGAGUAUAAUCAGGUUUGGAAUCAUGUGUUGUCAUAUAAAUGUGUUGAAAGAUGCAGAACUGGCAUGCCUCCACAUGAGUGCAAGUUCAUGGUUCAUGCUGAGAAUAAGAAAAUAUCUCUACUCUGAUUGGAAAUAAAGUAGCUAAGUACUUCAUUUGCAGAUCAUGAGGAGCAUCAUGGCAAGAGCUCAGAGGAAAUGAGAAACACCACAAAUAAUGAAAGAACCUUUGAAAGCAAGAAAUGAUAAUUUAGCUUCUCCUGUUGAACCCAGUUUUGAGGACAUUAUUCUCAGUUUUAUUUUUCCACAAGGACGUAUGAUGCAUUUUAGUGAACCAUUCAGAUUGGUCAGUUAGUCGUCAAAGCUAGUAGGCUGAUUUUCUUAUUGCAACCUCUGAGGCUAAUUCAGAAUGAAAAUAAAAAUAGAAAACCAUGGAAGACAGCAAAAAAGCACCUUGGAUUUGGAUUUCCCUUCACAAUCUUCUGCCCGUACUUACGCCACCUGUAGCCAUCAGUUACAUGUCCAACAUCAUAUGCAGUCUGCACAAUAACUUUUGGCUCCCUCACUGCUUUUAGAGCUGGUGCUGGGUUAGUUGCAACGCUUUCAGUCAUCCUGAGAAUAAAGAACACCAAAAAGUUACUACAGCUUGUUAACUUCACCACACUGACAGGUUAGAAGUCUUAAUGAGGUCUACUUGCCUUCGUUUUGGCUCUGGUUCUUCACUCAGAUCUUCUUCAUUCUUACUCCCAGGAUCCCCUUCACAAUCACUCGAGCAGUAUAAUUGUUGCUCGGGAGUUUCACUCCCAACAUUCUGUUCAGUCUUGCAAGUUGUAGUCUCUGACUCAUUAGCUUCUUUGUUUGGAACUUGCAAAGUCUCAUUGUCUCCAGAAGGCCCGCUAGAUGGAGGCCCUCUCUCUUUUGGGUAUCUGGUUUUUUGAGGCGCUUCGUGGUUGUGUCCUCCUCUAUAUACUAUCUCAACAACACGACCGUCCGGGCACCGCUCAAUCUUCUUUUUAGCAGAACAACUAGUAGUCGUGCAUCUAUAAUAGCUUCGGGAAUUCUCACUGCUCUUCACUUGCUUCUGACCAUAUUUCCUCCAAUUGAAGCCAUCAGUAGUUGUGUUGCUCACAAGAGCAGGAGUAGAUUGUGGUUUCUGCUCAGACAAGGGUGGUUUCUCUGACUUCGGUGUGGAACUAUUUUCGUCAGUUAUUGACGGUGACCUUUGUUGCAGCUGGGCAGGGCUCACAGUAGGCAGAAUAGGAUGUGGUAAUGAACUUGGUUGGGAGUUCAAAGCCUGCAACUGCAGCUGAGCCUGAGCUGUAACACUCGCCAAGGCUGCUUGAUGGGUCAUUGCAAAUUGGCCCUAAUUUUGAAAUUAAAAAUGAAGAGGUGUGAACAUUUUAUAAAAGAAAAACAACUUUAAGAAAAUUCUUCAGAGCUCAGCACCAAAAAAGGGAGCACACAUAAGACGACAAAUCCCUCUUAAAUUGUCGUGUUGUCUCAACAUGUAUGGAGCAAAUCACGCAUAGGUGGGAUGAGUAAAGUAAAAAAUUAGAGUAGAGCUACUAUACUCUUAUGAGUAAAGAGCCCUUCGUACUCAUAAGUUGUUUUCGAUGAUGGAGCUUCUGAAUCGACGAUCUACUCCGUUAAAUAUGAUCUAGAAUAUUUGAAACUCUAAGAAAAAAUUUCGUAAUUUUUUGAAAUCAUAAUAAAGUCCAUCAAGCAGGCAAAAAAUGAAUAGUCAAAAUCGAACGACGUCCUAAAAAUAGACGAUCGGAUCCUUAAAUUUAAGAUCAGAGUUAUUGAUCUUUAUCUAGGUAGUGAAUAGAAUUUUCUAUAAAAAAUUCAACAUAUUCUAAUUCUUUUACACCGUUAAACUAGCAAGUAUCCCAUACCGGCCGUUAAAAAUUGUCAAUUUUAUGACCUUUUGAUCGUAAGGUAAAUAAUGUCGAAAAAUUAUAAAAUUUGAUUUCUAGAAGUUUUAAAUGCUCUAGAUAAUGUUUACGAUAUGGAUCGUCGAUUCGGAAGUACUAUCGUUGGAAACGACUUAUGAGUACGAAGGCAAUUGUACUCAAAAGAGUAUAGUAGCUGGACUCGUAAAAAUUACAUGUUUAUUUGGUUUUCUUGUGAUUCUUUGGGUUGUAGACUAGUAGAGGCAUAUACAUAGAUGGAGAAAGUUAUCAUCAGAUCACUAAUUGUGCUUUUCCAGACAACAUGAUUGGCAACUGCACCGCCUCUUGUUUGUAAUCCUCCUAUCAGUAUUUCCAACUACAGCUGCUCAUCACCUUCUUACCAAAAUUUAGCUGUUUUUCAAUCAGAAACUUAUUUUUAUGGCAAAAUUACUGUUUCCUGUUUACAUCAUCCUAGAAAUCAAAACUCCAAAUUUGAACUAUAGUUGCAAACAUCACACAAUUCAACCUAAACGGAUCACUGUACAACUAAACUCCAAGAGAAAGCUCAAAGGCCACUCCAGCCACUAAACAGAGAGGCUAUAAUUAUAUUUUUCCGCAUAAUCCGCAAACCCCCAAAAUUAGGCAUCAAAAUUUCCCAAAAGUCAAAGAGUCUAAGCUACAAACUAUAGAGAUAAAGAUGGGGCCACCGACCUUAAACCCCGAUGACUCGAUCAGCGCUGCGGGGGCCAAGAAGCACGGCACCGCCAUCACCGGCACGGUGAGGAUCGGCGGCGGCGCCGCCGCGUGGGGCCCGCUCCCCGCCUUCGGCGACGCCAUCGCCCCCGCGAGUAGCUGCGAGAACGUCCUCCCAUCUCCCAUCCCCACCCCCGCCGCCGCCGCCGCCGCCGCCGCCGCAGCUUCUCCCUUCACCUUGGGAGCGGAAUCGGAUGUCGGGGCCGGCGCGGCCUCCGCCUUCGCCACCGGCCACGCGGCGGGAGAGCUCGACUUCGCCGCCGCCGCCGCCUCCUCCGCCAUGGGAGCUACCCCUUUUUCUAGGGUUUCGAGCUUCGGAGCCACGAGGAGGGCGGGGGGGGUGGUUUAGAACGGGGAAUCNGAAGGGAGUGAGAGAGAGAGAGAGAGAGAGAGAGAGAGAACGAAGGGCGGAAGAGGUUCGGUUUCUUUUUUAAUUUUUUAAUUUUUUUAUUUUUGACUGUAAUUGACUAGCAGGGGCGUUAGUUUUAACGGGGGAAGUUAACGGACGUUAAUGCUGACGAGGACCUGAGAACGGAGACGCCGUUACUACGGUUCUGACACUGACACGUGGGGACCACAAAGUUUGAGAGAGACACAGGCUGUUGCAUAGACCUCGGUCCAUACACCAUACUCCAAACUAUGAGCUAAAAGCAACACUUUGGUCCCCAAAUUCUAAAUUUAUUAUAAUUUUAAGUUCGAAAUUUUGAAUUAUUACGAUUAAAUUUCAUAAUCUAACUUGGUUGAGUAAAUAUUGAUGUGUCGCUAAUAUAAAAAUAAUGUAACAGUAUUGUAAUUAAGAAUGCGAUAAUAAUUAUUAUUUUUAUAUUUACCGAUAUAUUAAUAUUUAGUCAAUUAUAUUAAAUUGUGGGACUUGAUUGUGGUCAUUUACAAAGUUCAAAUAAAAAAUUAUAAUAAAUAAAAGUUUGAAAAUUAAAGUAUCACACAUCUUAUAGUUUGAGGACCAAAUGUAUAAUUCAGUCUAAAUCGUAAAUGUUAGAUAUUAUCUACUAUGUAAAUAAUAUGUGCGUUAAAAAUCAUAAUUAAAAAGAAAUCUUUUUGCUAGAUAUUAACUCUCGUUAAAAUAUUUAGGACAAUUUUUAUUGAAAAGAUUUUAGAUUUGGAAUAAAAACUUAAAUGAUUGACUUUUAAGCCCAUUCGCUUGGUUUUAGCUGAUCACAUUUCUACUUUUUUUCAAAGGUUUUAAAAAAUACCAUCAAUUUUAGUUUUUAUUCUACUUAUAAAUUAACCAGUCAAAGAGAAAAGCAGAAUACUCUCCGUUCUAUUUACUUUUUUUUAAAAAAUAUCUUAGCUAGAAAUAUGUAUCAAUUAGAUUUCGAAUUUAAAAUCUCAAAUGUACCAACAAUCAAAUCCGUGGCUAAAAAAUUGUCUAGUUUUGUGGAAGUGGGUGAAAACCUACUUUCAUCACUUUUUGUGUUUAUUUUGUUGUAAAUCGAAAAAAUAAUAUAACUCAAGUUAUAUUAGAUCUUCACUUUAUCUAUUAUUGACUUUUCUCUCUAGAGUGCUGAACCAAGUUUCCACCGGACUCAACAUUCUUUAAAAAAUUUAUUAAAUAUUGAAACCUAAACUCCACUUUAAUAAAAUGAGUUGGGGUUAAUAUUUUUUUUAACAAUAGAUUAGGAUUACUUUUUUUCUAAAAAAAAGAGAUUUAAUUAUUUAAUAGGUUGGAUUUUAUAUGAAUAAAUUUAUCACUAUAUUUCGAAGGUAACGAAAUCCACUUAUUUAUAUCAAAAUAAAUAAUGAAACUCGAAAAUUAAUUUUAUCAAUAUCAAGUUACACCAAAACGAAUAUAAAAAAAAAUAAUUGAAUUUAACUUUCAGACUAUAUAAAUUACAUCAAAACAAAGAAAAAAAAAAAUCUAUACUUCGGAGAAAAUUAAACACCAUUAUACUUGAGUUUCGUUGAAUUUAGACUUCGUUUGAAAUUACAGAGAGAUUACAUUACGUGCGGUGAGAAAAGACUAUGAAAAAAUAUCUUAUUUAUUUUCAUACGUAAUAUUGCGUUUCACGUAUCGCAAUUAGUCAGUUACGAUAUAUUUUAUACAGUAUCAUCAAAAAAUACAGAAGUAUAUCUUUAUAUAUUUUUUUCUUAACUUUAUUUUAGCUAACCGACCGUCCCUAGAACAAGUGGCAAAGGGCUUGGUGGUUGGUAUCCGAGACCCAAGUUCGAAUCCUAAUUGAUUCACAUUUUCAGCUAAAUUUAUUUCUAAAUGAAAUAAAACAAAGCGGGUAACGUGUUACGUAGAACUUAACCAAACUAAGCCUUAAGAGAUUCGUCGAUCCGAACGCUCCCUCACUGAGUUAGAUAUCUUCGGUAGAGCAAGAUGUGGGUCUACAGAUCACGGCCCAUACAAAAAGAGUUAGAUGACGGGAGAGGUGAUUUUACAAGUGCAUGAUGUGACGGCGAGUAAACGGCCGUUUGCGGUUCGGGGAAGGUUUGACCUCAUCAUGUGUAACGAGUUUGGCGUGAGCCUUUUGGAGGUCUCGGUUGUGGCCAUUUCUUUUGCUUGUUUGGGGAGUGGGGAAUUGGGGGAUUGUUGCGAUUUGGGAAAGUUGGUUGGACUCUUUCAAAUUAUCAAUAGCCCCUAAUAAGAGAGUAAUAAAUGAGACACACAAAUAAAUUUCAAUAUACUUUUCUCAAAUUUAAAAACUGAGAAGGAAAAACCACUUUAUGAGUGUAAAUUAUGGGUCUAGUUUGAAAUUGUAGCAUGUUUUCAAAAACUCCAACAAAAGGAGUAAAAAAAUUAAAGGCACUUUCGUAGCUUUGAAGUCUCAUGCAAUAUAAUAGCACAGAAACUGUGGUGCGGAUUCAGAAAUUUUAUUGAAACAUAUAUGCUGAUGUUUGAUCUCACAAAGAUAAGUGGUAGUGCCCAAAAAAAUAAAACGAAAAAGAAAAAGGAAAAGACAAAGUAACUACUAUAAUAAGGUUAAGGCUUUUGGUGACAAGACUAUAAAAAGAUAGAAGGGAAAACUCCAGAAAAAUCCCCUGUGGUUUUGCAGUUUCUCACUUCAGUAUCAUGUGAUUUAAAGUGGAUCAAUUUGCCUCCAUAUAGUUUUGUUUUUAUCUUUUCGGCAGUUUUUUUCUUAAUAUUUCGUUAAAUUAUAUAAAAAAAAACUUCAGAUACCCAUCUAGAUUUAUCGAAUAUUUACUUUAGCAUCCUUUAAUUUUAACUUUGUUACUGAUUUAAGAAAAAAAUAAUAAAAAAAUUGAUAAUAAAAAGAAAAAAACGAAACCACAAGGGGACAAAUUGAUACACUUUAAACUACAGAAAAUUAAAGUGAGAAAGUGCGAAACCACAGGGGGUUUUGAAGUUAUCCCAAGAUAGAAACAAGGAGGCAAGUACACAUUGAACAAUCUCAAGAGCAGGUCAAAAGCACAAGAACUCCAGGAAAAGAAAAAGUUCCUCUUUAACUUUCCUUCAAACACACUUAAAUUCAAGUUAGGAGGGAAAAAAAAAAAAAGGGGCCAUACCAGUCGAUUUCACUCGUCUGUCGACCGGUCCUAAUAUCGAAUGGUUUGAACUUAAGCUGUAAAAGAAAUGCGUGGAAACAACGAAACAAGCACAGGUGAAAACAACAAAGUUGUUUCUGCACAGGUGAAAACAACAAAGUUGUUUCUGCACAGGUGAAAACAACAAAGUUGCGAAACAAUCGGUACUCGAGUAGAAAACAUUCUUCAAAAGCUUGCUGGAUGAUGAUUCAAUUGAAAGCGCGUCAAACCGUCCUUAAAGAUAUCAUAGAAGCUUCUGCGAACUUCGCCCUUCGACAUGCCAUAUACAUUUCAUUUAUGGUUUUAGAGGCAAACAAAUAGUCUCAUCUAACACUUGCUUUUACCAAACCUGUAUCAAUAUCCAUUCAGCAUUAAACCAAGAGGUUUCUACUACAAAAUCUAAACAUAUCGAAAGUACCUUGAUAUAGAAGAGGAGAGAAAAAAAAAACAUAUUGUAUUCCUUUUAAAGAGAUAACCUGGAAUAUUAGCAGUACAAUAACAUAAAUAAAUCUUCAAAGAGAACAAAAAUCUUUUAUUGAACAACUUUAAAGCGAAGAAACUAUAAAAUAGAACAAAAUCUUCUUCCUAAGAAGAUUACGACAAAAAAAUUCUUUCUUCCCAAGAAGACUCGGUACAAUUCUUACCAAGGCAGCGGUCCAUAACAAAAUUGUGCCAAUGAUUGUUGCCUAGUUUGCUUCACAAACAACUUCUAGAAACAACAUUCAAUUAUCGACUAAAUAAUCUCCUCUCCCACAUGUCAUCGUAUGUUUACUAUGCCAAAGCUGUACAUGUAUACAAACAAAGAGUAAUGGUGUUUCACAAAUUUCCUCGCCUUUAACAUUCGCCACGAGAAAGGGCAUUAAAUGAUCAUGGUUUUGGAUAACUCUGCCGAUAAACAAUCUCAGGAGCUAUGAAGCUAUUUUAAACAUCAAUAAUGUACUUUUAUCCGGUUAGAGGUUCGAGUUGCACUUCCAUAAUUCCAGAAGAAUUAGACUCCGGUUUAGUAGUUGCACCCUCGGGAUGCAACAGAUCAACUGAAUCAUCUUCCUCGCUGUUUCCCAGCACCCAAGUGCCUCUGAAAGAGUUCCUCUCGCUUCUCCUCCUCUUGAUCUCCAUAUAUUCCAAAUACAAAACCAAAACUGCACCUAGCAAAACCCACAAGAUCAAGGCCCAAGUAACCUCUUUAACAUUCUCACCGCCGUAUCUAUGCCCUAACUGCUUCAUUCCACUAAAGAGUGCUACUACCCCGACGACAACAGAUGACCUUCCGAUUAUAACAUGCAAAUAUUCCCAAAGGAUCCUUCUUGAAGAUGCAACCUCUCCAUUAGCUGGCCUUUUGGGACGAAAAUAUGCAUUUAGCGGCUGUGCACAUGCCAAUGCAAUCGCGGUUACACCAAACUUAACAUGCAAUGAGCUAAGAUAAAAACCUCGGAGUUCAGCAGCUGCGAAUAGAACACCGAGUAGCAUAAUAGCUAUGCCCGAAUACUGCAAGUAGACAUGAAUCUGAAACCACCCAUCACCUUUCACAUGCUUUAGAUACCUCGCAGCCAAUAUUCCACCAGGAAGUAAAAGACCCCAAGAAACAAACAUCAUAAACCCAUGAACACCGAGAACAGGAUGCAAGUCCUGUUCGGCCUCAGCUGAACCUCUCAACAACAAAACCCUCACGGGCUUACUGCUCGUAACAGAGUGCAUGUUCAUGUUAUUCAAAUUGUCAUCUGACCAACGGGCCCCCAUGGCCCAAAUGACCUUUAAAGGAGUAGUCGGAUCGAUAAUAUUUCUACAUUCUAUCCUUCCGCUACAAGAAGGCGAUAGAGGGCGAGUAAACUCGAAGGUAAUUUUGCCAUUCUCCGAGCUACAUCUUACGUAGGUCAGAUUUUCAGAAGUCGAGUGCACAUUCAUCGCAUCCUUCCCAUCAAUCCAGUAGGAAUUGACACGGCCGGUACCAUUACUAUCUAUCCAACCCACAUAAGCAUAACUAUUUACCAUCCCGGUUCCAAAACCAAUGGCAAGAUAGCCGCUUUUUUUCUCACCUCGUGCGGCAAUUGAAAUCGAGCCAUCCGAUAGAGUCCAGAACAAGGAAACUUGCUGAUCAUCUAACACAACACUGUUAUUAUACAUAUCCGAGAUACCGCCGUCGACCACCUGAACCUUCCAACCCAUCUUCUGCUCGUACAAGGAGUGGUAAUAAACUUGAUCGGGCGUGUUACGGUCGGGCAACCACACUAACUCUGUUGGGCUAGCCGGCACACCUUCAGACUCCGGUCCACCCGCAUAGAUAACUUCAGUCGCAUUUCGAGACGUAGCAUUGCCGCCGAUAGGAUCGGAGGUAAUAUAAAGCGCCACAUCAUGCCCGGCUUGAAUUGAGAAUUUCACAGGCACGCCCCUCUCAACUCUCAGCAAAGGCGCUUCUUUCUUGUUUACGUAAAGAACCUUUGAAGGAUUCGGGGGGUUAGGGUACCGCAAGGCCGGGCCGGAGGUCACAACGAGAGGGGUCUUUCCGUCGGCACUGAUAAGAUCCUGAUCCUCCUUAUCCUCCGCAUCUAAUGGGCCAACGCAAUCCAUUACCGGCUCGGACAAAUUAAGGGUUCUGAAACCAAACGCCGUUUCUUGCGGCCCUCCGUGGUUUUGGGGAAGGUAGUACGGCCGGAGGGAAUCCGGCGGCAGCAUCCGUCCCAACGCCCAUAUCACCGUCAUGUUAUCGGUCUUGUUUAUCGGCACAUCAUACUUGUCAUCUACAGAGAUGAUGGGGCGCUCGUACCUGACGAACGAGACUCCGUCCCGGCGAUGGCCGUAGAUCAAUUUGGUGUUGUUCACCAACCCGACGGGAUCCGACCCUUCGUAGAUAGUGUCGGGGCACACGCCCUCAACCUUCCCGUCCUUAUUAAGGAGGCACUCGCUGUACUGGGUAAUGAAGUAGUCCUCGGCAAAGGGGAGACCUUCCUCGGUGAACCCCGUUACCGCGGCGUCGGCGUGGAUCAUGGAAGGGGAGGAGGAUCUGGGCGCCGCCCACCCGAAGGCCAUGUAGUAGUCGGAUCGGACGGCGGAUUCGAGGCCGAUCUCGACGGAAUUGGCAUCGGGGUAGAGGGUCCACCGGAGGCGGUAGGUCGGGGAGAGGGCGACGCAGUUGUCGAACAUGGUGGGCGCGCGGAUCCGGCGGGCGGUGCCGGUGGCGUUCGAGGACGGCGCCGGCGCCGGCGCCGGCGCGAGAUCCGUGUCGUUGGCGGGGGAGGGGAGGACGAUGUGGCCGAAGUCGGAGGCGGUGGCGGGGUCCCAGACGGCGAGGACGGCGAGGGCGUCGAGGGAGGCGCCGGGGAGGAGGGGGACGGUGAGGUUCUCGCCGCGGAAGGUGCGGUUGAGGGGGAGGUCGGAGACGGGGGCGCCGAGGGAGAGGUUGCGGAGGUCGGCGCCCGCGGCGCCCCACCACCGCACCGCGGCGGAGCCCGCGAGCAUGUCGAAGCCGCGCACGGAGAGGGAGCACCCGUCGACGACGCGGACGACGCCGCGGAGCUGGUGCUGCGCCAUGGCGAGCUCCGCCUCGAACCCCGCGAGGCUCGUGUUCCUACGGCACGAGGGAGGGGAGCGGAUCCGCCAUGGGAGGAGCCCGAUCGAGAUCUGGGCGCGACUCGAUCGGAUCUCGCGGACGAGGGUUAGGGUUAGGUUUAAGGUUCGUGUUUCCGAUAGAGAGGGUGGGUUUGUUACAUUAAAAAUAA